rnacentral:lncRNA from 1 species
CUCUCUCUCUUCCUUUGACCAACUUUGGUUGCAGAUCUCUGCUUGCUCCUGCUUUAGGCACAUGGGCCUGGAAUUGGUUAUCCUGUAAAUAUAGGUAUUUUGCCUGCAUGGCUGCCAUUGCUGUGAACCAAUGCACGAUUGCAAAGUAAGUAAAUCUUAUUUUUUAAGCUUCCUUCCCAGGUUGUUGCCUGAUUCUUUGUUAAGCAGGGUAGACAGGGGGAAAGCCAUCUUACUUUGUUGCUGGACUUGCUGAAAACAAGCAGCUUAAUUCCUAUGCUUUUAAUUUUGCUACCAGGGUGAGAUUUUAAAACUCUGUUCAACCCAUGGUAACCUUACUCUAGAGGCCAAGUCAGACACUCUCUUCCCAAACUAUAAACUUCUCCCUCAGCCAGGAAGAAAGGGGCAAAUAGUUUCAGCAGCAUCGCAGGAUGGGUGUUUUCAUUUGCAGCCAUUUUCUUAACAAACGCUGAGAACAGAGCUUUGUGUAAGAGCGGUUGUACCCAUUACAGCAAAUGGAAGGGUAUCUAGAGUUCUGGGCUAUACGCCUUCAGACUGAAAAUUUUUAUUUGAAUUUUCCAAGGUCACUCUGCCGCCUCAUUCCAUGCAGUGUGUAGAAUACCUGACAAUUUCUAAAAGGUUUUGGGAAGGGGUCAUAGCUUGGUGGUAAUGGAGGACACGCUUGUACAUGGAGAAAGCCCCAGGCCCAAUUGCUGGCAUUGCCAGGUGGUCUUGGGAAAUGACUCUCUUCUGAUACUCCAGGGAGAUGCUGCCAGUCUGUGUAGACAGUUCUGGGCUCAGUGGUUCAAAUGGUCUGACUUGAAGGCAGCUUCAGGAGUUCUCCCUGAGACCUCAGAACUAUGUCAAUACCUAAUUAUGACAUAAUUUAGAACAGUCAUGGCCAAACUUGGCCCUCCUGCUGUUUUGGGACUACAAUUCCCAUCAUCCCUGACCACUGGUCCUGUUAGGUAGGGAUGAUGGGAGUUGUAGUCCCAAAACAUCAGGAGAGCCAAGUUUGGCCAUGCCUGAUUUAGAAAUAAAAGAGCCAGGACAGGGUGGUGACUGGUGUUGGAUUAACACUGCGGAGAGACUCUAAUCCCUCUUCAGACAUGAAUCUCAUUGGGUGACUGUGGGCCACACUCUCUCAGCUUAACCUACCUGCCAAGGUUGUUGUGAGAAUCAAAUGUGAGGUUGGAAAGAUGUUGCACACCAUGCCGAGCUCCUUGUGGAAAGGCUGGAGUAUAAAUUUUAACAACAACAACAAAUAAAUUCUUGCAAAUAAUUUAAUUAACCUCUGGCACACCCAGUUAUCCUAAUCUCCAAUGAAUGUUUGCUUUAAAUCUCCAAGGUGGUGUUUUCUUUUCAUCUGAACAUGUUACAAUCUAAGAGGAGGCAGACAAGUAUGUCUUAUUUGCCUAGUGUAGUCUAUAGUCCUUCUCCCGAUAUUAGCUUUACGUAUACUGGAAUACUUUGUAUGUGUCAGUGGUUUAGGGACAAUUUGCAUACUUGGCUGGAGCUGAUAGUGCUGGACUACAACUACAUCUGUAAGGCCACAGGUUUCCCACCCCUGGUUUUUGCAGUCAGCAGAGUCAAGUGGCAAAGUUUAUUCUCCUGGACUGUACCACUUCAGGCCGCAGGGGUAUUCUAAAGCCAACGCAAAGCGCCCUCCAUGGAUGGAGUGUGCACUUUAGAAUUCCCCUGUGACGUUUGAGGUUCUGGGGCAGGUAAGUCAACAACAACAGCAGAGAUUGGACGGCCAUCUGUCAUGGAUGCUUUAGUUGAGAUUCCUGCGUUUCAGGGGGUUGGACUAGAUGACCCUCAGUAUGUCUUCCAUCUCUACAAUUCUAUGAUUCAGUGAUCAUAAUCCUUGAAGGAAGAACGUGUAAACCGUCCCCGGACUAAGAUGACCAUCAAAGUACUUCCCCAACCAGAAUGCCUUUAGUUCUGUAUAAAGCGUGUUUUCCUCAACAUCUUAGGGUCUCCUUCCUUGAGAGCUGUUCAGCUUUAGUGCCCUCCUUCAAUGUCCAUUACCUGAUAACAUUUAUUCUUCAGUGACAAACACCGUUAAACCGGAAGACAGAGAAAGAAACCAAGGGAUCUAUUAAGAAGGCAAUGUUAUGUGUGAUUAUUCUUGGGUAUUCUUUUUCUGACUGCUAUAAACGGGUGACAGAAACGUCUUUUUGCGGCUGUCUCCCUAUUGUCACGUUCCCCUCUUCGUCUUUCCUCUUUGUGGGGAUAAAGAUGUCUUGUGUGAUGUAGGCUGCUGCGAGUUCAGGAGCAAGAGACUUAUGUCGCUCUAGUCCAUGAAUCACAGCUCUUGUGCCUUUCCCCCACUCAUAAAGAAUAGGGUUUUUAUUAUGACUAUUUUUUCCUCCCUGUGAGGCAAAGCUUUUUAUAUCAAACAGUAUUUUCAAGAGGAAUGAGAUUGUUCGGGCAGUGGUAAUAACGGCAAGGCUUUCUUGCUUUGGGGUUCAUUUUUUUGCUUUAUGAUUACCCGCCUGAAAUGGGUACCAGUCAUAUUUUGCAAGAGAGCCACAAUUCUGAGGCUGGCACCGCUGCCCUCAUUAAGGUCAAUUGAUCAUCCUUGCCUCAAGGAAAUGGGAGAAAAAACCCCAACAAGAGAUGGGUCACUGUGCACGAUGGACUCAGCGAAGAAUGUGGCCGGAUAGAGAAUCUUAGCUUUGUUGGGUUAGUUGGUCCGUGCAGACAAGUCUAUCAACGAGAAAUGUGUCAUAUACAGAUUUCUGUUUAGUAGACCUUUCUGUCUCGGGCUUCUCGUUUAUCAUUGUCUCCCUGACAGGAGCUCUGCCCUGUUAUCCUGACUUGUAUGUCAUUUAUCAGUGUUAAGUACAACAAAAGAACAUCCCUUUAAACCCUCUUUAACUUUUCACAUGCUUCUACUGUUGAAUAAUGGUAGCUGUCGCCAUUGGCCCAAAUAUCCCGUUUUGUUGCUUUUCCUUUCAAUUCUGUUAGCUGCACAAUAAUGGGCUGAAAUGGCUAUAAGAGCCCUUGGAAACCUAGCACAUAUAUAUGUAUAUUUCUGCAUGAGUCAUAUACCCUCCCCCAGUUUUCUUUUUUAAACUUAAAAAAAGAAAUGGAGGAGAACAGCAUACUACAAAGAUUUGCCAGAAAGGAAUAUUUUGUAGGCCCACCUAGAGUUGGCUAUAAAUAUCACUUAUAAGGCACAUUAGUAUUCAUUACCACAACAGGGCUAAAUGGUUUUUAAGCAGGUAGGCACUGGAUAAAACAAAUAUUUGUACUUUAGUAGGACUGUGGAAUGAAUAUUUGACAUGCUGCAGCGGAAUUAUUGUGCGAGAAAAUUCAGGUGGAAGUCUUUUCAGGUAUUGCACUUGCUCGCAACUUGGGCUUGUACUUUGGAGUUUUGCUUUUCACCAUGAAAGGCUUGGUAACGGAGUUCUUACUUUACAGUAGCAUUCAGACUCAAAAAGCAAAAUUGCGACAGAAAACAGCCCCUUUAAAAAACCCCCACCAAUCACCUUCAUUAAAGCAUCAUUCUUCCCUCUCCCUGCCAGAGAUUUCUUACAUGCUAGCCAUGUUUUACAUCCACCUGUUAUUCAUAUACUCCUGGGGCAGUAUUUUAGAAAAUGGAAUUAUCCCUAGUUUUACCUGGUUAGCAUGCUGGGGAAAUGUGUGCUAAUUCUCAGCACUAAAAGCACUACCUCUGUCUGCUCCCUCUUUUGGGCUGAGAACACUCCUUUGCAUUUCAUUCCUGCUAUUUUGAACAGUAUAGUAAAGUACUUUGCUCUCUUCCUCUCUGUGUGCGUGCACACACAGGCCUAAAAACACAGAUGGAGAGUCGCCAACUUUACAACCGGACUUUGCAGCUGUGCCUUUCACAGGAGAUUAAUCUGAAGCCAUUAGCAGGUGAGAAUGUUUAUCUCCAUCCCAAGAUAAGCUUUUUUUAAAAAAAAAUUAUUCAAAAUUAAAACAAAACAUAUUAUCCAGAAACAUAUCAUCCCUAUUUCCCACCAUUUUUGCUGACACGUAGAACAGGGGUCAGCAAACUUUUUCAGCAGGGGGCCAGUCCACUGUCCCUCAGACCUUGUGGGGGGCCGGACUAUAUUUUGAAAAAGAAAAGAAAAAAAAUAUGAAUUCCUAUGCCUCACAAAUAACCCACGGAUGCAUUUUAAAUAAAAGGACACAUUCUACUCAUGUAAAAACACGCUGAUUCCUGGACCGUCCACAGGCCGAAUUUAGAAGGCGAUUGGGCUGGAUCCGGCCCCCGGGCCUUAGUUUGCCUACCCAUGACGUAGAAGUACGAGGGUGGGGCACUCGCUUUGGAGCACUCCACUUGCUUGGAGAUGAUCUAAAAUGAGGAGGAAGGCAGAGGUCCGCCAUCUUUCUUCCCAGCUCUAUUGGUAUGUUUGGAGCAGGGAUGAAGGAACCUAUGACCCUCUAGAUAUUGCUUGACUCCAACUCCCAUCAGCCCCAGCCAGCAUGGCCACUGGACAGGGAUGACUGGAGUUGUAGUCCCUCAAUAUCUGGUGGGCCACAGGGCAGCCACCCCUGGCCUAGCAACUACCUUUGUGGUUUGUUCAUGGAAUAUAGAUAAAUAUACAGUAAUACCGCAGUCUUCUUUAACAGCUUGAGAAAACAGGGUCAGACAAAGCACAGAGAACAGUAGUUUUGCUCUGUGGGGAAAGUAUUGUUCUGUCUAUUGCUAGCUUUAGACUUUUGUAGUGGAAUGACUGAUGACAGUGAGGUUCUCUGCUUGGGAUGCAGCAACAAAAUGAUUAUUUACAUGGACAGGCUUAGCCUGGCUGCUGGCCUUGCAGCUCUACCACCCUUGUUUUGAGGUACUGGGAAUCUUUUGAGAGCAGAAUAAUGAUAGUGUUACUCUUAAUGUAUACUGGUUGGGACCAAGAUCUAUACAUUAUGUAUUUUUGUAAACCACCCUGGAAGCUCUGCUGAAGGGGAAUAUGGAAAUCUCUAAAAUAUAUGUAUGUGUAUUAAAGUGUGGUGCUGACUUCAGUUUUGGAGUAAACCAAGCAGCUAUAUUUCCCAGUGUGGCUUUCUGGAAGAGAGCGCUUUGGGGGCUUUCAGAGCAUGAAUAUGAAAGGAAGGGUUGCUUCUGCAGGGAGGUUCUAAGUCAAUGUUCCCCAAACUUGGGUCUCCAGCUGCUUUUGGACUACAGUUCCCAUCAUCCCGGACCAUGGGCCUUGCUAGCUAGGGAUGAUGAGUUGUACAGUGGUACCUGGGGUUACAUACGCUUCAGGUUACAGACGCUUCAGGUUACAGACUCCGCUAACCCAGAAAUAUUACCUCAGGUUAAGAACUUUGCUUCAGGAUGAGAACAGGAAUCGUGCAGCGGCAGCAGGAGGCCCCAUUAGCUAAAGUGGUACCUCAGGUUAAGAACAGUUUCAGAUUAAGAACAGACCUCCAGAACGAAUUAAGUUCUUAACCAGAGGUACCACCGUAUUCCAAAAACAGCUGGAGACCCAAGUUUGGGAAGCCCUGUUCUAAGUCUCACUUUCUUGCAGGCAUCGGCUACAAGAUAGAUUUCUCCUGCCUUCAGCCAGUGCUUGCAAAAUGCUGUCUUCUUUCUCCUCUCCCUGCCACCUCUGUGCUCAGAGUUGGCAGUGCCCCUUGUGCUAUGGUUCCUCAGUACCUGACAGUAAGGGAUUUCAGCAGGUGGGUGGGACAAUGUGAUGUUGUAAUGAGGUCAGUGAUUGAUGGGUGGGUUGCCCCACCCAGCUGUCAAAUUUGACCAGUAUAAAUCCACCACUAAUGCUAAUAGGACGACAGGGUCAUUACCUAUUAAAACUCUUUUUCGUAUUGUUGUUGUUAUUUACUCACUCGCUCACUCUGGUUUUUAAAAAGAUGCAAGUUCCUUUGGGUGGGCUUGGCAUCAAUUUUCAUUUAAAGGUAAAUCUACGUUAUUUGUAUGGCUUGAAACUACAGAGGUACCUCGGUUUAAGAACGAUUUGGUUUAAAAACUCCGCAAAACCAGAAAUAGUGUCUUGGUUUGAGAACUUUACCUCCGUCUAAGAACGGAAUCCGAAUGGUGGAAGGGCACCGGUGGCGGGAGGCCUCAUUAGGGAAAGUGUGCCUCGGUUUAAGAAUGGUUUCGGUUUAAGAACGGACUUCCGGAACAGAUUAAGUUCGUAAACCGAGGUACCACUAUACGCAUGAACCGAAAUGUGCACAUCCUUUGAAAUACUCACUUCUUUCGAUUUCACAAUGCAGUUCUGCAACCAAGUAAUGCAUGCAAAAAGGCAUGCCACAGGAUCAAGAUCAGUAAAAAAUAAAAACGCCUUAUAUUAGGGAAAACUACUUGAAGAAAAAUGUAUAUUAGGAGAAAUUUGUACUCAAGUAUUAAUUUUCAUGAGAACUUUUUAAAAAACCUCACAAUUUUAUGUGAAAAUGUAGAGAGCUGAACUUAAGACUGAAAAAACAAGAAACCAGAACUGACAGAUUUGCCAAUCCCUAGUGUAUGAACAUAGGUAAAAAAGGUAAAGGACCCCUGGAUGGUUAAGUCCAGUCAAAGGCGACUAUGGCGUUGCCGCGCUCACCUUGUUUCAGGCCGAGGGAGCCGGCGUUUGUCCACAGACAGAUUUCUGGGUCAUGACUAAAUCGCUUCUUGCACAACGGAACACCGUGACAUAAGCCAGAGCUCAUGGAAACGCCAUUUAUCUUUCCGCUGCAGCGGUACCUAUUUAUCUACUUGCACUGGCGUGCUUUCGAAUUGCUAGAUUGGCAGAAGCUGGGACAGAGCAAUGGGAGCUCAUUCCAUCACGGGGAUUUGAACCACAAACUUUCCGAUCUGCAAGCCCAAGAGGCCUAGUGGUUUAGACAACAGCGCUACCCGUGUCCCUCUAUGAGCAUAACAAUAAAAUUUAGUAUAGGUCCCCUAUAUUAGUAUAGGUCCCCUAUAUUUAAUUCAGCAUAGUAAUCCAGAAGUACAGGUCUUUGCACAAUUAGCCAUCCUCCUCCUUCCAGAAACCCAGGACUACAUAUUCUCUCCAUCUCCCUCUUUCCUUUAAAGUUGCUCUCUUUUGAGUUGCAGCUGUGAGUGGGAGCAGCUAGAAGCAUCACCGAAGCAGGAGUGGGCAAGCAACUUUAAUUAAACACCACUAGGCUGGAGUGCUGGGUUUUGUUAUUCAUGGGGCUUUUAUAUUAUGCAUUUUCAUUUCGCCUACGAAGAAAUAAGGUGCACGCAAAAAUAGAGGGAAAGAACAUUGAAGGUUAUGAACCAAGCCAAUUAAAACCAAAGUGAGGAAAUUCAGACAUUUAAAAAACUAACAAGUACUUUUCAUCUUUAAAGUGCUCUAUGAGCUCUAGCUAAUUAUGCCUGGUCAUGUUUCCUACCAGGGUGGAGAAAAGCUGUCUUAAAGCAAGGGCAGCUUAAGCACAUUUUUGCUGCUUCUGAUAUCCCAGGACAAUGGCUCCCAAACUCCCUUCAAUCUCAUGUUUUCGUUUUUCAUAUUCAAGGGGAAGAUUGGAGGCUGAAGGUGGAAAAAAGGAAGCCAAAUAAUUGUAGUAAAAUCAGGAGAUUUUGAUUCACCCCUUUUCUUGGAAUGCUAGUAACAGCAAUGCAUCAUUCCUUAGAAAAAUUUCUGAUCGAUUAGUACUCCAAAAUCCACAAAUACUUCAAAAUUGGGGUGGACUGAACGAUGGAGCAAACCUUGUUUCCAUACUACUGGACUACUGCUUGGACUGCUGCAAUGCGCUCUAUAUGGGGCUACUUUUGAAGGUGGCCCGGAAACUACAACUAAUACAGAAUGUGGCAGCUAGCCUGGUGACUGGGACCAGCCGCCGAGACCACAUAACAUCGGUCUUGAAAGACCUACAUUGGCUCCCAGUACAUUGGCUCCCAGUACGUUUCCGAGCACAAUUCUAAGUGUUGGUACUGACCUUUAAAGCCCUAAAUGGCCUCGGCCCAGUAUAUCUGAAGGAGCAUCUCCACCCCCAUCGUUCUGCCUGGACACUGAGGUCCAACGCUGAGGGCCUUCUGGCGUUUCCCUCACUGCGAGAACCCAAGUUACAGGGAGGGCCUUCUCAGUAGUGGCACCUGCCCUGUGGAAUGCCCUCCCACCAGAUGUCAAAGAGAACAAUAAUUACCAGACUUUUAGAAGACAUUUGAAGGCAGCCCUGUUUAGGGAAGCUUUAAGUGUUUGAUGGACUACUGUAUUUUAAUAGUUUAUUGUAAGCCACCCAGAGUGGCUGGGGAAACCCAGCCAGAUGGACAGGGUAUAAAUAAUAAACUAUUAUUAUUAUUAUUAUUAUUAUUAUUAUUAUUAUUAUUAUUAGGUCUGCAUCUUAUGACAACUUCAAUCCAUUUUUUUUUGUUCUUUCUUGAAUACCCCGCUUUCUUCUUCCCCCUUGCAUUACUUAACAUACAGACUGAUGAAGAAUUCUGGAGAACUUGAAUGCUGGCUCACUGCUUUGGAACUUUGUGCUUGAUCCUAAGCAAAGCAUUGCCCAACUCUGUGCAAGGGUGAAACUAAGCUUUAUUUCACCCGGGUCAAAGACCCAGUUUGGCACACUCCCACAUGCGUUUGUGUACAGGCACACAUAGGCUGGUGCCUCAGUGGCUGCCCUCAGGUGGCUUCAUCCAGGGCCAAAAAACCCCCCGGGUAGACCCACCCCUCUGUAGCUAUGGCUGUGCUGUGUUGUAGAUUUUGUUUCUUACAGCUUCAAUGCAGCUUUAUUUUGUUUGUUUGUCGGUGAGCUCACACAUGAUGCAAACAAUUGCAUUCCUCUGUUUUCUGUUCCUUGCACCUGGAAACACCGUCCCUAUUUGAAAGGUUGCUAACGGUGCUUGCCAGUUGCAUUUGGCCUAUCGAAUGCUUGAGAGCUCAGGUGGCUUUUCCCCCUUGAACUGAAAUCUGUGCUAAGAGAAGGCCCAUUUUGUCUUCCUUUUUACCCUGGUUCCUUUUUGCGGGGGAGUGGAGUUGGAAGGAAGAGAAUCGCAGCUUGCUUUAGACCAACUUUCUCCAAGCUCGCUGUGCAAAAAUGUUGGUUCAGUUGCACAGCAGUCUUGACUCCAUCAUUUUUUUAAAAUAAUGACCUCAUAACAGUAGUAUGUGGCCUUGUAUUGACAUUUGGAAUGCAUAGAGGAGCAUGCUGUUUAUUGGAUCCAGCUAUCCACAGUUGUACUGUUCUGACCUUGAAUUUUUCAAUUGCAUUUAAGUGCUCUAAGCAAGGCAUGGGGAGAGGACUUCUGGCCCUCCAGAUGCUGCUGAACUACAACUCCCAUCAGGCCCAGAAAGCAUGCCCAAUGGCCAGGGAUGAUGGGAGUCGUAGCUCAACAACAUCGGGAGGGCCAAAAGUUCCUCACACCUGCUCUAAAGCAACUAUUUGGAUACGGGCAUCUCUAAGAGGACAUCUCUAAGAGGAUAAGUCGGGAUGCGGGUGGUGCUGUGGGUUAAACCACAGAGCCUAGGAUUUGCCGAUUAGAAAGUUGGCGGUUCGAAUCCCCGCAAUGGGGUGAGCUACCGUUGCUCAGUCCCUGCUCCUGCCAACCUAGCAGUUCGAAAUCACGUCAAAGUGCAAGUAGAUAAAUAGGUACCGCUCCGGCGGGAAGGUAAACAGCGUUUCCGUGUGCUGCUCUGGUUCACCAAAAGCGGCUUAGUAAUGCUGGCCACAGGACCCAAUAAAGCAAGAUGGGCCGCAACCCCAGAGUCGGCCAUGACUGGACCUAAUGGUCAGGGGUCCCUUUACCCUUUACCUUUAAGAGGAUAAAUAGAGUGUUGGUAGCCAAUUGAUGGCAUGGUUGCCCCAAGUAGCAGGAAUCCUGGAAAUUUGCAGCAUGCUUAAGCAGGAGUAGGACGACACCCCCUCCUCCAGGCCUAGGGGAUAGUUGAGUGAGUGUGUGUGUGUGACUUGCUGCAGGUAUACCAUGAAGUAUGUGCUAGAGAGAUACUGUCUCUUAUUUGACUUGGGGAAUGUAUGCUAGAAAAUCUUUGGUCAACACUGCUAUGGCAACUAGUGUAGUAAAAAGGUAAAGGGACCCCUGACCAUUAGGUCCAGUCGUGACCGACUCUGGGGUUGCGGUGCUCAUCUUGCUUUAUUGGCCGAGGGAGCCGGCGUUCAGCUUCCGGGUCAUGUGGCCAGCAUGACUAAGCUGCUUUCUGGUGAACCAGAGCAGCACACGGAAACGCUGUUUACCUUCCCGCCGGAGCAGUACCUAUUUAUCUACUUGUACUCUGAGGUACUUUCGAACUGCUAGGUUGGCAGGAGCUGGGACUGAGCAACGGGAGCUCACCCCAUCGUGGGGAUUCGAACUGCCGACCUUCUGAUCGGCAAGCCCUAGGCUCUGUGGUUUAACCCACAGCACCACCCGUGUCCCAACUAGUGUAGUACAAUGGUGCAAAACUGGAGGUGUGAGCUAAGGGGUUCCUGGUUCAAACUUCCAUCACACAACUGUACGUGCAUGCAUUGAAGAGGAGUAGGAUUGUGGCAGCAGCUGUAAUCGAUCCUUAUUCAUUUAAAGUUCUGAUAUGAGGUUUUGUGCAUACAGCAGGGCACGCACAGGGCUCUUGCUGCUAAGUGUUUGGGAACUGGGGAGGAAACUGGGUUCCUGAUCUCCAUUUUUAGGGCUGGAGUGCAAUGCCCAGCGCUGCUGCCCAGCUAACUGGAAACAUUGCCCAAACCUGAAUUUGCUUUCUGAGCUGUCAUGUGAUGUUAGCAAUGCUGAGGACCAGAACCUUGCUGUUAAAAUCUAAAUAGAAAUCAUUAGGAUGGCUGUUUCUGCAUCUGGUAGCAGAUUAUAUGAACAAAAUGCUCAUGGUACCAAGCAUAUUCCUCAUGAUGGGUGCUUGAUGCAAGACUGACAUAACCUGCGCAAUUCACUUUUGCACUGAAUAAGCUGUGGGAUAGGAUUCUUCCCCUCCACCGCCGCCUCAAUCCCCUCCCUGUUGGCAAAAUAUUUUUGCACCCCAGCCCAGUCUCCCAAUGGUGCAGGAUUUCAGGAGUCCCAGGGGCUUAUGCAGGGUUGGUGCUUCCUUUUGGGAAUAGGGCACAGGGGAGACUGCAGUGUCUUUGUGAUGUAUGGUGUAUUUACACAUAUUUACAAUCUGAGCCUAUGAUGGAGGGGUUCACAGCAUUAACACCCCAAGAGGGUCUUGUUUCAUGGUUGUAGCCUUGGAUUCAAACAGAAAUCAAACAUCACGCUCUGCCUCUCUGACUUUCCAGUCUGCAGCUUUUUCUGGCAUCACAGCCAACUCUGCUCUCCCUCCCAGGUUUUGUCCUACCAACUAUCUAAAAAUUGGAGGAGGGACCCCACUCCAUUUCCGGUCUGGCCCAGAGCCCCCUUUCCUUUACUGUCUUAAUGGCCCAUCACCCAGGCGAUUACCUCAACGCAGGGAGCUUGCCUGGCUUUAUGCUUUAACACUUCCUAGGAUUAUAGGUGUCAGGCACCCACAAACUCAUAACAAUAUAAUGCACUAUAAAGUCUACCCCAGCCCCCUUAGAUGCCUGUGUUGCACUUAGUCUGGCGUAGUAAAUUAUUCAGCAAAUAUUUUGCUUUUCAAAUUUACCCUGCAUAUCAAAAGGAUGUGUUUAACUGAUAAAAGCCUAACAGCUCCUUUGGAGUCAAUUAUCAGUGAUGUACAAAGUAUUUUCCAAAUUACUACAUGAGCCAUAAUGCAUCCGAGGGAUGCCUCUAAUCUCUCUGUUGUUGGAAAUCCACUUUGAAUUGAAUUGCCUAAAUAUGGAUUGACCAGGGUGAUAGCUUGCUCUGUAAAUGGGCAGGAUGUGCUCGUACCGAAAUGCACAAUCAAAUAGGGGGCCAUAUUGUGUUAUUCUGUGCUGUUAUGGUCUAUUAGGUAAAUAUUAUCUUCCUUGUGGAUUUGUUGUAGCUAUACUGUAUACACAGUUACCCGAUAAGCCAUAUGGUCUUUCAGAUAAAUAAAAUGUGUUUCUGGAAAUUAGAAAGCGAUGCAGCCCCAAAGCUGAAUUGAUCUCCUUAAGCCAUAAUGGCUCCAAGGAAGCCAUUGCUGUAAAAUACAAUAUUAGAAGAAGAAGAAGAAGAAACUCAACCCAACAUUGCUAUGCAUUUUUACAUGACCCUAAAAUAGGUGUUUUUAUUGUUUGUUCUGUGGGCUUCAAAAUUCAUCUGCUCCCAGUGAACAGAUCGCUAGCACACUGAGGGUUUGAACAGCAUUAAGGUAUUUGAAGAAUAGUUUAAUUUUAUUUAAUAGCUUUAUUACAGGGUGCACAGAACUGUGGUGUGAUACAUUGGAAUGGGAAGUAUAGUAUUGUUGCUUCACUAAAAGAUGAAAAAUGUGUAGGUUGUACCCAACUAAGUUAUACUCAGAGUAGACCCACUGAAAUUAAGCUAGUCGUAUUCAUUGAUUUCAGUGGGUCUACUCUUGAGUACAUGGUCAUAACCAGUAUUUAUGUUGGGAGGGCAGGGCUCCCACCUAACCUGUUCCAGAACCGAGCUACUGAGCUGCCAGUUGUGUUCCUUGAAUGCGCCACAACAUCACCCAAGCAUUUCAGUUUCAAAUAUUCUGAUUAUUCCUACUUUUAGUUAAGUAUUAUUUCUUUAUUUAUUUGAUGCUGCGGGGUGGGCAGCUGCCCCCCUGGCUGCCCCCAUGUCUGAGUAUGACCAACGCUCAAUGCAACUCUGUGUUAGGAUAAAUUAGAUAUCUCUUAUAAGUCAAGUUAUAUAAGCCUCAUUAUGGGGAGUAAUUUAUUCUAUGAAGUUGCUUUUAGACCACAUCGGACGGUUUGCUCACUGAGUCUGCUGUCAUCCACCUCGGCUGCCUCAGGAUCUCAGACAAGAGAAAGUUCUUUUCCAUUUCCCACUAUUUUAUUAUUUUGAAAACCACCACCCCACACAGGGGAUUGAACCUGGGGACUUCUGGGUGCAAAUAAGUGCUCUGCUGCUGAGCUAUGUUCUUUCUCCAAGUAAUGUUCCUUCUUCUUAUGAGGAGGAGCAAAGGGCAAUGUAUAUCAUCAAAGCCCUGCUAUUUUACAAGUGAAUACUUCUUGGCUUCGUUCUGGUUUCUGUGAUAUUGCCAGGUGUUGACCUGGUACAUUCACCUUAAAGAGACUCCCAUAUAUAUAUAUAUAUGAGAGAAAGUUCUCCAAUGCUCACUUUUGGGGAUUUUGAAGGAAUCAUGCAAUGCAGGUAGUAGUUCUGACUAUGGAUUAAUUUUAGAAGCUGCAGAAGGGAAAAUGUUCCCCAACCCUGUCCCAAGGAAUACUUGGUUAUUUCAAGUACAGUGUUACCUCGGGUUACAUACGCUUCAGGUUACACACUCCGCUAACCCAGAAAUAGUGCUUCAGGAUAAGAACAGAAAUCUGGCUCCGGCGGCAACAGGAGGCCCCAUUAGCUAAAGUGGUUCUUCAGGUUAAGAACAGUUUCAGGUUAAGUACGGACCUCUGGAACGAAUUAAGUACGUAACCCAAGGUACUACUGUACAUCUUCGAAUCACAGAAUUGUAGAGUUGGAAGGAACGACGAGGAUCAUCUAGUAGUCCAACCCUGUGCAAUGCAGGAAUAUUUUGCCUAACAUGGGGCUCAAACCCACGAUCCUGAGAUUACGAGUCUCAUGCGCUGCCGAGUGAGCUAUCCCAGAUUUACCUUGUUACAUACAUUUUCCUUGAAGGGUAUGGACUCUAUUGGGCAGGGGGUGGUGGGAUUUUUUUUUUUAACAGGGUGUGUGUGUUGGGGUGCUUAGGGCAGGGGUAGAUAGAUGGAAUUGUUCUCUUAUUUUGCAGAAGCAGAAAAAAAGAUAGGGUAGUGUGAUGGGAUGAGGAGCUGCUUGUGCGUAAAAUAGUAUCCCCUCAGAGUUUGUUCAAGUCCACAAACCUCUGUCUGUGACGGAGCCCCUCAGACAUGGCUCCUCUAGUCACUAGCAGAUUCCGACAGUGGUUGCUUUCGGAUCGCUUCCAACAUAAAAGCUCCUUAACGGAAACACGUCUUCUGGACUCUCUGCGUGACAGUUUCCGGCGAGGAGUGGGUGUUCCUACAGGAGGUCCUGAAACCUCCCCACUGUUUUCGCUGGAAGUGUCUCUGAGCCAUCCCUCCAGCUCACUUUCCCUCAGCUCAGCUCCUCUCCCCUACUGGUUCCCUCUUCAGCUGCUGAGUCUCUCCCAACCUGUGUGAGCCCUUUCACCUCCCUUCCUUCCGAUGGCAGUUCCCUGACAUCCACCUCCCCUCCAGGGCCCCUUUCACCCCCUCUCGCCCCCUCCUCUACGGGCGGUGAGGAGGCAAAACCCCGGAAUGAACUUCCUUCAUCUUCCGAUGUCUCGAACACUUCUCUCCACCUGUUGCGGUUCCUGGUCUCGAAGUACUCCUCCUCCUCAGAGUCCAUCUCCCUUCCCCUUCCGAGUCCGGGAAUCCUUCCAACUCCUCCUCCUCAUCAGUGGUCCCAAAGUAUUCCCUCCGGAACCUCUCCACAGGCUGAGGUUUCCUUGGGAACCUUUGAUGGAACGUUUCUAUCAAUACCUCGUCAUUGAUAUCUUCGGCCAUUACCCAAGUGUUUUCUGACUCGGUUCUCCUUCCCACGCUACCAAAUACUCCACCUGAUCCCCCUUCCACCUGGCGUCGAGGAUUUCUGCCACAUGGCUGCUGCAUUCUCUUUCUUCUAUGACCGGUCCCCGAGUGGCCAUCCCUUCUCGUCCCCCUUCGUACGGUGACAGUAACGACCUGUGAAAUACUGGGUGCAGUUUCAUGUGGUUGGGUAACCGGAGCCUGAAAGCCACUGGGUUGACCUGUUGAAUGACCUCAAAGGGACCCAACCUCCUGGGUCUUAAUUUCUUACAACCUCCUUUGAACGGCAACCCUUGGGUUGACAGCCACACCCUAUCUCCCACCCUUAUGGUUUCACCUUCCCUUCGGUUCUUGUCUGCCUGCCUCUUGUAUUCUUCCUUCGCCCUUUCUAAGUUGAGUUGGAGCUGACGAUGGAUUGCUUCCAUUUCUUCCACAAAAUGCUCGGCUGCCGGGACGCUCCAUCUCUCCCCAUCUCCCCUGGGAAAGCCCUGGGAUGACACCCAUAAUUAGCCAAGAAGGGGCUCAUCCCUGUGGACACAUUCUCGGCAUUGUUGUAGGCAAAUUCCGCCAGCGCCAACUUUUCUACCCAGUCAUUCUCUCUGUCAUUGACAUAACACCUCAGGUAUUGCUGGAGGACACCGUUUGCUCUUUCCGCCUGCCCGUUGGUUUCAGGGUGCCGGGCAGUCGAAAAUUGACCUCCACCUGCAGUAAGCUCAUGAGCUUCCUCCAGAACCUGGAAGUAAAUUGUUUUCCUCGGUCUGAGACCACCCUCAAUGGCACCCCGUGCAACCUAAAAAUGUGUUCUACAAAUAACUUCGCUGUCUCUUCCGCCGUGACUGCAUGCGAGCAAGCUACAAAGUGGCACAUCUUUGUUAGUAGGUCUACCACCACCAUGAUGGCUGUUUUCCUUUGGACUUCGGCAGAUCAGUCAUAAUAUCUAUCGACACUGCCUCCCAAGGUCGUUCUGGGGUUGGUUAGGGUUCUAAUAGCCCGGCCGGCGCCCGCCUUUCCCCUUUGGCUCGCUGGCAUUGCUCGCACCCUCUUACAUACUCACGUACAUCUUCCCUCACCUUAGGCCACCAAAAUUCCCUGGUGACCAACCACAUGGUUUUGUGUUGUCCAAAAUGCCCCGCCGUAGGGCUGUCGUGCAACUGCUUGAGUACCCUCCCCUUAAGUCUCCUUCAGGGAUAUACAGUGCCCCUUUGUAAUACAAAGCUCCAUUUCUUUCCUCGAAACCCCCUGGUUCCUCUCCCUCACCCCUAAGACCUCUGAGCUUAUUCUGGGCGUAUUCAUCAUUCUCUGUUUCCUCUACCAGUUCUCUUUGUCCCACCAAUGCCGCCCCACACACCCAGCGGUCCUCUGGAAUGACAUGUCUCUCUUCGGGUGCUCCCUCCCCUCCAAAUAUUCAGGUUUGCGUGAGAGAGCGUCCGCCCUAAUGUUCUCUGGGCCUGGCACGUAACCAAUCUCAAAGUUAAAUUUGGAGAACUCCUGGGCCCAUCUCACUUGCCGUUGGUUGAGCACUCGUGCCGUCCUCCAAUACUCUAGGUUCUUGUGGUCAGUGCACACUUGCACCUUAUGUUGUGCGCCAAUUAGCAGGUGCCUCCAUCUCCGGAACGCCUCAUGAAUGGCUAGUAGUUCUCGGUCAUACACCGUGUAGUUCCUCUCGGAUUUGUUCAGCUUUCGCGAAAAAAGCACACGGUCUCCACUCUGACUCCUCCUUCCCUGGCUGCAGAAGCACCGCCCCAAUCGCUCUGUCUGAUGCGUCAGUUUCCACUCUCAUCGGUUUUUGUAAAUCCACAUGCAGGAUUUGUUGUUCCGAGGCGAAGGCCCUUUUAGUUCCUCAAAUGCUCGCUCCGCCUCCUCAGUCCAAACGAACUUCUUCUUACUGCUGAGACAGUCCGUAAUGGGCGCCGUCAGGUGGGCAAAGUUUCGGAUGAACUUACGAUAGAAGUUCCCAAAUCCUAGGAACCUCUGCACAUCCUUCCUUGUUUUGGGUGUUUUCCAUUCCAGCACCGCCUGGACCUUGCCGGGAUCCAUGGCCAAUCCCUUGUCUGACAGGCGAUACCCCAGGAAUUCCACCUCCUUGGUAUGAAACUGACACUUCUCCAGUUUCACCCACAGCUGGUUGGCUUGCAGCCUGCUCAACACUUCUCUGACGUCUUUCACAUGCUGCUCCUCAUUCUCAGAAUACACCAACACGUCGUCUAAGAAGGCCACACAAUUCUUGUAAAGCAAAGGCCCCAGGACGUGGUUCAUAAACGAUUGAAAGGUUGCGGAGCCUGCUUGUAGGCCGAAGGGCAUAACCAAAUAUUCAAAUGCCCCUAAAGGGGUGAACAUGGUGGUUUUCCAUUCAUCCCCCUUCCUUAUUCGUAUCAGGUUGUACGCCCCCCUUAGGUCCAGCUUUGUGAAAAUCUUUCCCUUCCGCACCCUUGUCAAAAUGUCGUCAAUCCUGGGCAUAGGGAAGGCCACUGGUUCUGACACUGCAUUUAAGGCCCUGAAGUCACACACCAGCCUCGGCUUGUUCGUGUUUUUCUUAUCCACAAAAACACUGGGCUGCCCCCACCGCCCUGGACUCUCUGAUGAACCCUCUCUUCAGGUUCUUGUCAAUGAACUCUCUUAGCUCCUGCAUCUCUCUGUCUGACAUGGCGUACAGCUUGCCUACAGGGAGCUGUGCCCCAGGGAGUAAAUUGAUUUGACAGUCAAAGGGUCUAUGCGGGGGUAGUUGGUCAGCUUCCCUUUCGCUGAAGACGUCGCGGAGAUCUGCGUAUUGUCGUGGUACCUUCACGUUCUCCGUUACUUCAGUCCCUGCUAGGGUGGCUUGGGCCCCUGCCAAACCCUUUCCCUCUUUGCAGUGUUCUAAGCAAUGUGCUGAACCAAAAGAAACCACUCUCUGAUGCCAGCCCACCAGCGGAUCAUGUAACGCUAGCCAGCUCAUCCCCAAUAUAAUGGGAGCUCCUCCCAAGGUGGCCACAUUAAACGCUAUCAGUUCGGUGUGUCUUGCCACCUUCAUUAUCAUUGGGACGGUCUGCAAGCUGACUUCUCCUCCCAACAGCUCCCUGCCAUCGAUCGUGGUCACCUGCAGGGGGUUGCUUAAAGGGAUCGUCUGUAUCUGGUGUUCAGCUGCAAACUCUUUGCUCAUGAAAUUGCAGGAGCUGCCUGAGUCCAACAGCGCCUUUAUCUUUAGAGGGUGUCCGUUUGGCAGCUCUAGCGCCACUUCUAUCACUAGGGCGGGUUUAGGAGGUUCUGGCGUGGGCACUCUCACUGCUCUUUGGCCUGGCUGCUGUGCCCCGACGGUGGCAGCCAGGCGUUGGCUUUUACUUGCUCCGGUAUUUCUUCCUCUCUUCCCUCCACAGCUCCUACCAUCCCUUGCCAUUCCUUCCUCUGGGGGCAGACUCUGGCAAAGUGACCUGGCUGUUGGCAGAGAUAGCAUUUCCGGGCGCGUUUUCCCUCCUUCUUUCCCCCUCACUGGGCUUUGAAACUGCGCGCGCGCGCUGUUCCGAUUUCCAUCGGCUCUGCCGGCGGGAAAGUUGGCUCUGGAAUGUCUGGAAUGCGGAACUCCUUCCAACGUUCCCCUUCCCUUCCCGCCUCUCCAAUGCUCUCGCCUCCUGGCGCGCUCCUAUGGUCAGCGCUGAUUUGGUCAGCUGGUCCAUAGACUCCGCCCUGGGCGCCCGGGAAAGUUCGUCUUUCACAGCCGAAGAAAGCCCUUCUUCAAAGAGCAUUUGAAUGGGUUCCGCCGAUAAGUCCCACCCCAAUCUGUGAACCAGCAUGGUGAACUCAGUCCAGUACUCACGGACAGAUCGGCUCCCCUGUUUGCAAGCCAUUAACUGUCUGCGCACCACUCCCUGUUCAAUAUCGCUGGAAAACAUCAGAUCCAUGGCGCGAAAGAACUUCAUCGUGUCCUUUAGGACGUCACUAUUCGCUGCCAUCAGGGGUCUAACCCAGUCUCUCGCCCCCUUUUCAAGAUGCCCAAUCACGAAAGCCACUCGUGAUUCCUCGUCAGGGAAUUCAUCAAACUGCAGAUUGAGGGCAUAUUGCAUCUCUGUCCGAAAGCCAUGAUAGUCUUUGGGCUCCCCCCCAAACUUCUGCACCAAUCCUGGUACCUUUCUGGCGAGCUGGGUGGCUUUCCCUUUUGUCUGCAUCCUGAGCCCUCCUCUCCUCAAGCCUCGCCGUCUGCAGCGCUAGCUGGACCUCCAACACCCGGUACCUUUCUUCCAGGCUUGGACCCGCUCCAGCUCCUGCUUCUCCGGUUCCGGCUGGGUUGCUCAUGAUGCCUUCUCCUGCACAAGCUGCUUUCAAAGACUGUCGGAAUGCUGUGAUGGGAUGAGGAGCUGCUUGUGCGUAAAAUAGUAUCCCCUCAGAGUUUGUUCAAGUCCACAAACCUCUGUCUGUGACGGAGCCCCUCAGACAUGGCUCCUCUAGUCACUAGCAGAUUCCGACAGUGGUUGCUUUGGAAUCGCUUCCAACAUAAAAGCUCCUUAACGGAAACACGUCUUCUGGACUCUCUGCGUGACAGUUUCCGGCGAGGAGUGGGUGUUCCUACAGGAGGUCCUGAAACCUCCCCACUGUUUUCGCUGGAAGUGUCUCUGAGCCAUCCCUCCAGCUCACUUUCCCUCAGCUCAGCUCCUCUCCCCCUACUGGUUCCCUCUUCAGCUGCUGAGUCUCUCCCAACCUGUGUGAGCCCUUUCACCUCCCUUCCUUCCGAUGGCAGUUCCCUGACAGGUAGUUAUCUCAAUGAAGAAAAUCUUUCCUACUUUUGAAUAACGUCUUUCCAGAUAUUCUGUUCUCUGGUCCACAUCAUGUUCUUGAUAUCUCUGUUAUAAUUUAUAAUUAUAUGCACUAAACAAAAGCACUCAAGAACAUAUUAGCAUUCUUCUUGUUCAGUUGGUGCUGAACUUCCUAGGAGUAUUCAUUAUCUUGGGGUUGUUUUUUUUAAUUAAGCAACAGGCUGUUUAAUUGACAGGAAACCCUUAAAUUCUCCCUCUCUGUAUUUCAGUGGUAUGAAAGAAGUUUCCUUAAACCUAUAAGAAAAUUGCAAUUUGUAGAUGUGUCUCAAGAACUCCACCAGACAGAAAGGGAUUACAUUUUUUUAGUAUACAAUUGGGAACUCCAAUGUCAGAAUUUCCUUUAUUAAAGUAGUAUGAAUACUUCUUAAUGACCAAGAGAUUUUUUUUAUAUAAAAAAGAAAUAUUAUCAUAAUCCAUGUGAUUAGAAUAACCCAUUUUGCAGUGCUUGGGAAUGUAAGUGGGUGCCUGAGAAGUGUAUCAAAGAGGCCAAAAAUUCCAAAAUUCAACAAUCGGGCCCAAACUAACCACCCAUCAUUUUAAGUAAGUCUGGGCCUAGGUCUGCAAAGCCUCAGAAAGUAGGUCUGUAGAGCCAGACUCAAAUGGCCCACCCCUUCACACCCGUUGCACUGUGUGCGGGUGUAUGUGUGUGUAUGUAUACAAAGUUAGGUAUCACCAUGGCCAUGGCACAGGUGGUUUUAGGGUAGUGUGACCCAUUCAGCCACACUGGGGGCACUGCAACAACGGCGCAGAAUGGAGCCACGAGAGGAGUGUGUGAGCACCACAUUUUAGCGUUGUCCAGGGUGUUGCUGAAAUUUGAGCGCCACCACUGGCGAUGCCGUUCUGUAAAGGAGGCUGCGUACACACGAUACCUUUAAAGCACUUUCGAAGCACAUUAUUUCUCUCAAAGGAUCCUGGGCAAUUUAGUUUGCCCCUCCAUAGAGUUACAAUUUCCAGCAACCCUUGACAAAUUGCAGGGCCCAGAAUUCUUUGAGAAGAAAAUGUGCUUCCAGUGUGCUUUAAAGGUAUAGUGCGCAUGGAGCCGCAGACUGAGGGUGACAAAUGCUAGCUUACAAAGGCACCCAGUUUGUGGCUAGGCUGAGAUUUGAACUACGGAUUUCUAGGUUAUGCUGUUAAUGAGUUCUUUUAGAUGGGGGACCUCAGGCUGGGGGUCGGUGGUGAGCAAAUGCAGCCUUGCAGGCCUCCCUACCUGGCCCUCAGCCUGCUUUCCAGACAACACACCUUCCUGAGCCUCACAACAUUGCUUCGCACCCUCCUAAUGUGUUUUUACUGGAAUGCGUCCUUGAUCUAUGAUUACACCUCUUGUUUUCCUGCAGGGAGGGAUGUGUGAGUGUGAAGGAACAAGCCUGUUGUCCCAAGGUAAGUUUCAUAUUUAUAGCUCUGUUUACUUUUGCCUAUGGCCCUGCCCUCAACUGACAUUUGGACUCCAGAAGGGAAUGUCACCCCCAGACUAAGACAGGCUCCCCAACACCCCUGAUUUAGAAAUGCAGUAGUACCUCGGGUUAAGAACUUAAUUCGUUCUGGAGGUCCGUUUGUAACCUGAAACUGUUCUUAACCUGAGGUACCACUUUAGCUAAUGGGGCUUCCAGCUGGCGCUGCGUGAUUUCUGUUCUCAUCCUGAAGCAAAGUUCUUAACCCAAGAUACUAUUUCUGGGUUAGUGGAGUCUGUAACCUGAAGCAUCUGUAACCUGAGGCACCACUGUAGAAGGGAGGCCCUACACUAUAGAACAAGGCAGUCUGAACUCUUUGUGCAUUUUUGUUUGCCAGAUAUGCUCACCAGUCUCCUUUGUCUGUCCCCGCUAUGUUGCUAGUGCUCAGCUAGGCACUUCCUUUUAAUGUUUUCCUCUCCCUCCCUCCCCCCUUCAGUUUCAAAGGUGUCUUUGUGCACGUAUGGCUAAAUUAAUUUCUGUGACACACAUUGCUGAAAUGUAAACAUGAUGCCACUUUGAUUUCCCAUGAAGAUAGAACACAUGCUGUUUCAGAAAAGAACAUGCAAGAUUGCAGGGAAUUGUGGAAAUCAAAUGCUAAUUACGAGUCCAGAUGGGGGAAGAUGGAGGGAAAGAAGAAAAUAAAAGGAAGAGAAACAAAAGAUGAAGAGAAGGACAAAUCUCCUUUCCCGACUAUUCUGUGCAACUGUCAGUCAUUUCUGAAUAUCCAAAAGAAAGUCAUCAUCAGUAGAGGGGUUAUUCCAUUAGGAAAAAACCCCACUCCUGUGCCACAUAAAAUUAUACUUCAGCAUUACUUCUAUAAGGGCCACCAUGUUUCCUUUUAUUUAUGUCUGCUGUUUGCUUUCACAAGGGAUCCAGGUGUUCUGCUUGGCAAGAGACACAUCCAAAUAACGGUUGACUUCCUUAUUUAUGUAUGCAUUUAUUUAUUGGUAGGGGAGCACCCAUUGCAAUUUCUCCACCUCAGUAGCCCUUGGUGCAACCUUAAAUCUGUGUUUUGCUCAGCACAGCCUGGUCCGGUUAAGGCUAAACAACAACAACUGUUUUUCCAUCUUCUUACAAUCUUCAUGUUGUUUGGCUUUGUCCAGUAGUGGCCGUGACCUUGGAGCAGGUGGGGCCAGAGCUAAUGAGAGGUGGAGUCUAUUAAUUCCAGUUUUGCCCCUGUCAUCUUCCCUGCUGAGUUCUACAAGGGCAACAACACUGGGAGGAGAAGGAGAAGGAAGAUUCUUAUUGUUGAUAAGCAGUGCCACUCUUUGGACCGGCGGUUAGUAGGAGGGCAAGCCCAGAGCAUAUGGCAGCAAUCUAAUCUGAAUGUCACCAGAGCAUGGGCCAGUUACUUCUAGUCCAGGACAAGAAGAGUUAAGCCUGCCUUGAACAGGAUUAGGUUUCAAGCACUGACUUAAGGUGAUGGGUUUGUGGGUGGGCACCAACCACACACAACACACUAAGCUCCCCCUUCUCCAUUUCAUUAUGCUUUGUUACUCUCAGUGAGUUGGAGAAAAGUCUGGGGUGGGAACCCAGCUAACCUGGGGUUCUGAAUAGCUUUGGAGAGUUCCCAGAAGGCUUGUGUAUGUUUGGCGCCAUGUCGUCUGGGAUGGCAAACCGUGGGCAACAUUCUCUAUGGUUUGUUUCAAACAAGCCAGCUUCAAAGCAUGAGUUAUGAAGCUGGCUUGUGAAACUAACCAUGGUUAGUGUUAUCUGAAGUUCGCCUUGUCGUCUAAGCCAGCAACUAUGGUUAACGAAAACCAGAAAGAUCAGCUGUGUGGGGAUAGGAGGAGUUUGAGUCUGGAGCUUCCUGCUACAUGGUUUAUAGCAUGAUGUUGCAAACAUAUAGCAAAAGCACAUGUGCAAGAAAGCGCUUAAAGAGCCUUUUCCUCUGCUUUAGCUGGUAUGGUUAUGACUUAAUGGGCAGAGACAUCAAACCAUUGCUGAAAGCAAGAUAUCGUUUCUGUUAAAUAACAGCCUUGCCUAUAAAGACAGGAACCUUUACAGCUGUGUGGCUUGAUUGGGAAAGAUCUGGAGUGCGGUAUAUUCUGUAGUCUUUUUGUUGUUGUUGAAAAAAAAUCAUUCUUGAGCAUCUAGCUAGUGUUGCCAGUUGAUUUCUGUAUGGACUCUUGGGAGACAAAGAAAGAAACAUAGUGGAGAUUUGAAGUUUUAAUUCAUAUGCCCUUGAUGAUAAUUCCCCAUCAAACAAUCCAGAUUUCCCCCCUUUAGUUGAUGCUACAUUCAGCAAAGGCAUUUUGUAAUUGUGGGGGAAAGAUCACCUCAUUAAAACAAAAAAGCACUCUGCUUAAUUCCGAGCUGCUUCCUUUAAGCAGAACUAUUGUGCCUGAUGGCUGGGAGCCUUGAUUGCAUCUCUUCAGAGGGGAACACCCUGAUUUUGAACUACAUCCUGGGUCUCCUCCCUUCCCCCGCCCCCCUCCUGCUUGUCUUUUUCCUGAUUUGCAAGUCAAAGAGUCGAGGUAUAUUCUUGCUUGAAAUGGGUUUAUUUGUUUCUCAAUGGUAGGUGAUUCCCCCACCCCCACCCCAAGGGACUGUAGCUAAACAUAUCACCUCCCCUCCCCCCUCUGCCUGCUUUUUUUAUCUUCAGAAAUGCUGCAAAGUUUUGCUGAUCACAUACUCCUCAGUUCUUGAGGUCCACCCCCCUUCAAACUCCUGUGGAGAGAGAGAUUGCGGUGAGAGUUAUUCCUCCUGACCUCUCCUGAGCUCCCAUUGAGCUAAAGGUCAGGGGUCAUUUUCUCAGACUCCCCAUAGAGGAGCAAACCAAAGGUCAUUCCGUUAACUCACUCCGAGUGGGAUGUGAUGAUGAUGAUGGUCUCUCUCUUCCUCUCUCUUCUCUCUGUAUAUAUAUAUGUGUGUGUGUUUGUUUGUUUGUUGCAGUAUUAGUGUUUUGUUUUGCUAUUAUUGCAAACAGGUAUGCAACAAGACAAACAUCAGAGAAAAUGCCAAAAAUAAAAAUGGCACGUUCUGAAAACAAAAAACCAUUCCUACAAACCCUUAAAAAAAAUAUGAACUCAUCGUUACAGAUGUACAAUUAAUGCCCCAAGAAUGACUGGGUCACACCUCAGAGCAAGCCUUGUUAAACAAAAACAGGUUCCAUAGGUUCAGUAAAUACAGACUGGGCAAUGUUCAUCUGAGAACCGAGAAGCCAUAUUCCUUUUUAUGUCCCUCUGAUCUCUUCCAUUCUCAACAACACAUUCAUAGCCAGCCCCCCCCCCUUGUUUCUUCAAAUGGAUGGCUUGGCCUUUUCUGUGUCUUACAAAGGGAGUUGUUAUGGGGCUAUGCCUUCUCUCCGCCCUCCCUCCCUAUUUGCUUCCCAUUCAGCAAACCUGUGAGUCUCAUGCUGUCCCACGAAGAAAUUUUUCUGGCUUCCCUUGGCAUGAAUGGUUUUGCUUUUUUUUUUUUUAAAAAAAAAACUUCCUAUGAAGGAAGACUCAUCAUCACCAUCAUCAAAGGUCUUCCCAUUUCGGAGAACCCCUCUUUUCAGAAAUAAUAAUUGCCAAAUUGUUUCCCCCUCCUCUUUGCCUUCAUAUGUAAAGGGAAGAAACGAAGGAAAAGAGGCUGGUAUUCCUUGAUUUCUUUGGAAUGUCUGAGUGCAGGCCAGCCAUUAUUUCCCAGUCUGGAUUCCUCUCCAGAAGGAGGGUAGGAAGACUUAUUUCCUCUGAUCCCCUCCUUACCAAAGAGAAUGGACAGGCUCUGUCAAUGCCACGGCUGCCUCUGAGGCUGCUCCUUCUCCUUGACCUGUCCCUCUUCCACACACAUAUAGUGAAGAGAUCUCUUGGGCCUCUCUCCCCACUCCUGAAUAAAUAGAGAGAGAGGGGAACUAAUCACAGGGCAUUAAUUACCUGAGGAGGGCCCCUUCUCUCUUUUUUUCGGAAGGACACAAUGACUAAAAGGGAGAGAGGCCUUUGUUCCUUCCGUGAAGCCUGUCCUCAUUUUGACAGAAGCGACCAAGGCAGUCUACGUUGGGCUGUGGAGAGAGAUUGUGGUGGCAAAUAGGUUAAAAUACGGUAUUUGGCCUGACUGCAAUGGUCAAAAGAAAUGUUCUGCUUGACUAGAACGAGAGCAGGGGAAUCAGUCACAUUUCAUAGUAUAACAGCUUAAUUCCUGUUUAUUUUUGGUCUACAGAGAAAUUAAUAUGGUAUAACACCGCAACCAUUUUAGGCACGUCCGAUAUGUGCAUGACGCACACAUGCACACAUGCACGCAUGUGUAUCACACCGAACCUGGAAGUCACCCAAAAACAUCACAAAAAAGAGGCAGAAUGGGUUGGGGCAGGGGCAGAACAGGUUGUUUGUGUGUAUAAUCGGAACAUCCAUUGAAAAACCCUGCAAUUUCUUGCAGGUGCACAAUGACCCGGAACACCACCCCUGUGCAAACAGGGAGUUUCCUGUAUGGAUUUGGCUAAUUGUAGUAUUAUAAAAUAACAUUUUGGCCCCUUUCUCACCUUCACUGCAUAUGUUGACUGAUUGACCUAGUUCGCACACCAUGGUAAACCACAGUUAAUGGUUUGCCAUGAAAACACCAGACUGAACUGCUUUGCUGCUUCCUACUUGCAGUGGGAGGAAACAGAUCAUGGCCCCUAGCUUAGCGUUCUGUCCAAAUCAGGGAUCAUGGUUUGUUUCAUGCCAGCAAACCAUGAUCUGUAGCCAAGGUUUGCCCUUCGUUUACUGAUCGUAGUUAAUAAGAGUGAAACAAACCAUGAUCCCUUGUUUGGAAAGAAUGCUAAGACUGUAGUUGGCUUCUGCCUAGCUUGAACUGGAGCAAAGUGGAAGCAAUACACUCAUGCAUGAUAAACCAUGGUUUGUCCCCUCCAAAUAAGCGGGCCUAUGGAGGCCAUAAAAUAGGGAUUUGUAGGAGGGGCAUUGUGUCAGGUGAAUGAUUUAUGCAGGUGAGUGCUAGAUAGACAUGAGGCGGCAGUGGAAUAUCAGAGACCAGAAAAUUGCAGUAGUUGAGGCGAGUGAUGAUCAAAGCUGGAGAGGGAGGGAGAGAAGUGCUAUAGUUUUACAAUACUGCAAAGCAACGUAACCUGGGAAUGGAUCGAAUAUGGAGAACAAAGUGCAGAAUGGAGGCAUCAAGGGUGUGCAUCUGUUGAGCAGAAUGUAGGAGCCCUAGUAAACUAUGUGAAUAGUGCAACAUGGUGGUAAGUAGGCACAGCAAGACUGGUAGUGUAAACACCCAUAGAGAGGAGCAAUUGAUUUCUGCAGAAAAUGAGCUGCCCCUAGUGGCUAUUGAGUCCAAAUUCCAUAGUGUCAAACUUGCUAAUGAUUUUCAGUUCAGUAGCUGGCUUGUUCCCCAUGCUCAGUUUGAAUACCUAUAAGUAAGUAGCUCUCAGAAAAUACGUCACAAAUCUUCAUAGAUAAUUCUAAGUCUUCAGGACUGUAAAGUCCUAUAAACGGCGGCUCUGAAAGCUACAUACAGUUCAGGGAAGUGUGUGCGUCUGUGCUUGCAGAACAAUAUUAUGAAAUGCAGAAUCAGUAGGCAUUUUACAUUGCAAUGAACUCACAUAUUUUCAGUGCCAUGGUGGGUAUUUGUGUCUGUGCAUUGCAUGGUGUCUUCAACAAAUCACAGAAGAGGCCUUUCCCCACACACUAAUCAUGUUUUAGUCAAGCUAUUGUCACACAAUUGUUCGUUCAGAAUUAUGCUGUGAGUUUUAUCCAUUGUUGAGAUUCUUUUCUUCUUCUCUGGAAUGGAAAGUACAAAUCCACUUUUAAAAUGCUGAGAUCUUUUGACUUCUCCCAGAAAACUUUUUUUUAAAAAAAUCAGUCUAAGAGGAUAAGAAAUUCAUUAGCUUAAGUUGUAUGAUUCUACCAGCUCAUUAGAGAGCUGUGUGCUUUUUGGUUUGAGGAUGCCUCCCAGCUCUACAUUGAAGCUGUCAAAGUUAAGGAUGAAGGUAUGGGACCACUUAACCAUCCUAUGAGGCAAUUUCUUAUUUUUAACUAUGCAGACCAAAGGGUUCAUUAGAUUAGCUUAAUGAAUAGUUAUGGGCCUGAUGUACACUCCUCCCCCUCCAUUCAUUACUGUCUAAUUGCAACCAAAAUACACAAUUGCCAAAAAGAACCACCCCAAGAAAAGAAAUAAAAUGUAAAUUUCAGUUUAUUGACAGUAAUUAUGUUUUCAGAGCCACAGUUCUUAAGUUUUCUUUCAUAACCAGGUAACACAAACAUUUUGAUUUGAAUGUCAACACCUCAGACCUGUAAGAGUUCUAAACAGUUGAAAAACAUGUACAUCCCUACACAAACCAGUAAUUAUUUUUACACAGACCUGGAAUGAUUACAUCCAGAAUCUUCCUUUCUGCUUGCAGUAUUAUGAAGUACUUGGUAAUUUAUUUUAAUCUCUAGCAUCUGAAAAGUCGCUACUGGAAAAGCAGAUUUUUUAUAAAAUGCAUAGAUGAACACACACACACACACACACACACACACACACGUGUGUGUUCAUUCCAGUUGUGCUUUGACAAUCUUCACAGUUUUGGUCAAUUUAUGUAUCAUCUGGAAAGUUCAGAAUAGGGCAAUUGGCCUCAAAAUACAUUCUGAAGCAUCCUUAGUAAAUCUUCUUUCACUCAUGGAGAGAAACAGAGGCACUCAGGUGGAAUUUCUCUGAGAUUUCUCGGCUGUGGGCCAAGGCUUCACCAGAGAUAACCUCUCGUAUCUUUCCUUCAAGUGGUAACGUUAAGGUAAAGAUGAAUGAUUGCUUUUCAUUUCCCCCUAAAGAUAUGAAGUCGAAGAUAAUGCCCGCUGGCAAGAUUUAUAUAACUAUAUUAUUGUACAGCACAUGUGUUUAUGUGGAACAUUGUGGGUACCCUCCCUGUCUAAAAAAACGAUUUCAGAUAUUCUCUGUUGUAUUAUUCUAAUUUUCUUAGAUAAGAUAAAAAUGUGUUACACAGAAACAUGUUUCUGGUGAAAUAAAUCUUUAAUCACCAUCUGGGGCUGGCUUCUGGCAACUCUCUGUGUCUCUCUCCUCCCUCUGCAGCCAAGCACUUAUAGUGGACAGGUGACAAAGAGUGCUUCCUUUCUUAAGGUAAAGUAAAGGGACCCCAUACCAUUUGGUCCAGUCGUGACCGACUCUGGGGUUGCGGCGCUCAUCUCACUUUAUUGGCCGAGGGAGCCGGCGUACAGCUGGUCAUGUGGCCAACAUGACUACCGCUUCUGGCGAACCAGAGCAGCGUACGGAAACACCGUUUACCUUCCCGCUGGAGCGGUACCUAUUUAUCUACUUGCACUUUGACAUGCUUUCGAACUGCUAGGUUGGCAGGAGCAGGGACCGAGCAACGGGAGCUCACCCCGUCACGGGGAUUCGAACCGCCGACCUUCUGAUCGGCAAGUCCUAGGCUCUGUGGUUUAACCCACAGCGCCACCCGCAUCCCUUUCCUUUCUUAUACCAACACAACUAUUGAAGGUGUGUGCCAUGGAAAGGCUGGACGUAGAGGAAUGGGGGGUGAAACCAGCUGGUGAACCACCAAGGGAAGAGGGCUGAAAGUCUGGGGAGUGGUGGUGGGACAAUGAUGAGUGGUCACAGGGAAGAGGAGGUGUCAGGAGCUGAAGAGGUAACACUGCAUAAUGAGCUGGGGAAGUGUCUGGCAGAGAGAAGUCCAGAAUUGGAGGCAGAAGCUGAAGCAAGGGAGGAGGGAGGGAGGCCAAGAGGCAGAGAAGAGAUAUGGGUGUCUUCCCCCUGCUGCUGUUGCAGCAAGCUCCCCUCCCCUCUGGUCUCCCAGAACCAGAAGAGGCAUGAAAAGGGCAGAGGACAGGUUGGCUUCAUGUAGGCACAGUCUCCAAUUGCUUGGGAUAAACCCUGGAAAAGGAGGGGACUUAGGCAGCUGUGGGGAGGUAGGGACUUUCAGUCUCUGCAGUUGAUCCAUGGGUUCAAGACCAACCGGGGAUGAGCUGCUGUGCAUAUUAGGCCUGACACUCUGCCAAGUCUGCACAGAUCAUGUUCUUGCUAAUAAAGAGUGCACACUUCCACAGUGUCAUUUACUGCUAGUUCUUGACAAUGCAGGAGCCACGUCUUUUUUUACUUGGCAUGCUAGGCAUGGGAAACCUGUGGCCUUCUGUAUGUUGUUGAACUUCAGCUUCCAUUGCCCCUGAUCAUCCACCAUGCACAGGGCCAGAUUUAGGUUUGAUGAGGCCCUAAGCUACUGAAGGUAAUGGGGCCCUUUAUAUGUCCAGCUGUCCUUUGUCAACAACAAAUUGUCGCUGUUUUUUGUGUUGCAUAUAUGCUAUAUGGUAAUUUAUGGGCCUAAUAGGUAUCUAAAGCCAUUUGCACAUAACAAAUAGGAGCCUACACAACACAAUGCACUGUUGCUGUAUGAAGGUUUUAUUUUAUUUGUUUUUUAUCUUACAUUUUGGAAAUGCACAUCCAGUUUCUUUUCCUUUAAAUUAUUUUUUUGGGGCCCUAAGCUGUAGCUUGUUUAGCUUAUAUGUAAAUCUGGUACUGACCAUGCAGGUGGAGAGUAGUGGUCCAACGCCACUUGAAGGGGUGCUGGUUCAACACCCAACUAUAAGUUAUUGAACCUUCCUAAAGAAAAUACUCUUGAGAGUCCCAUGAACUGCAAGAAGAUCAAACCUACCCAUUCUUAAGGAAAUCAGUCCUGAGUGCUCACUGGAAGGACAGAUCCUGAAGCUGAGGCUCCAAUACUUUGGCCACCUCAUGAGAAGAGAAGACUCCCUGGAAAAGACCCUGAUGUUGGGAAAGAUUGCAGGCACAAGGAGAAGGGGACGGCAGAGGAUGAGAUGGUUGGACAGUGUUCUCCAAGCUACCAACAUGAGUUUGACCAAACUGCGGGAGGCAGUGGAAGACAGGAGUGCCUUGCCAAGAAAACUCCAUGGACAUAAAAAAGGAGAAGCUUUGAGAAGAAAGUGAGAGUUUCCAAGGCAUGCAUGUUCUGGUUCAUGGGGUCAUGAAGAGUUGGACACGACUAAACGACUAAACAACAACAACAACAAAGAAAAUACCAUAUUUUUCAGUGUAUAAGACUAUAUUUUUUCCUAAAUUUUUGAAGUUUAAAAUAAGGGAUCGUCUUAUACACAAUAGUGCAUAGUGCAUUUUCUUCAUGUUGAGUCCCCCAAAAUAGGGGGCGUCUUAUACAUGGAAAAAUAUGGUAAUCAGUAUCCUGUUUGUAAACAUUUUCCAGCAUCCUUACCAGCUAUGAAAUAUAGCAGAGUGGUGUCUGCGAAGACUCAGGCGGUUUUAAAAUUGUAAGUUCUGCUCAAGUGAGUAUGAUACGGUUUCUGAUCUCCAUUUGUUUCCAUACGCCCAUAGACAAUUUAUUUUCUUUGUUCUCAACUAUGUGUUUUCAGGACAAACAUCACAUCACAUGAUGCUCAGUAAACUAUUAGCAUCCCAAGGAGAAUACCACUAAAAUUGUAAUUACCGCAGCAGUUUGUAUUAAAGAAUCAAAACAGCAAAGCAUUUCAAAAGCAGAUCUCUGAUUUUUAAUGUGUUAUGUUUUAGAUUGCGAAAGCAUUGCUGUUUUGACAUCACAAUGGAGGGGAACAACUAGUCACAAUUAACCAAGCUCUUAAGCAACGUAUGGCACCUUUUGUAUUUCCACCCCACCCCAAAUGAUUAUUUCUGUAGUUUUGUGGCUAAGCAGAAACACAUUAUAAAAUAUGGAAAAUCAUUCAGGAAGCAGCGAUGGAGGAAUAAAUGUGAAAGUUUGGCAAUGCAAUCCUAAAUAUAUCUCCUCAAAAUUAUGUCCCACAGAGUUAAAUAGGGCUUACUGCCAGGUAAACGGAUCUAGGAUUGCAGCCUAAAAGUCUGUAAAAUGUGCUGUUUUAUCAUAAUGAAAACCAUUUUGACCAGUGAUAUUGUGAUGAGCUCCAUAUGAAAGUGAUAGUACACUGGAGUAGUCUAAAUAUACUUAAUUGAUGCACUGGGCUAAAAAUUUGGAGGAAUGGAGAAUUUUUUCAAGUCCACAAUUUUGCAUUUCAUUUCAUUCUACGUUUCAGCAAAAAAAUGGCUUCAGACCUUUUCCCCUUCAGCAUGCUAGUGAAAAUUCCAAUAGCACACAUUAGUUUAAAAACUAGGCUUAUGACAGAAUAACCAGUUGGCUGACAACAUUUCAGCCUGGUGCUCCCCAUUCUGAUUGGUUACGUUGCAUAAGGAAGGAUGACGCUGGAUUGGCCGGCUUUGCAGCUGUUGCUAUGACUCUGCUGUUGCUAGGAUCGCUGCUGUCUCCAAGCCCUGCAGGAAACAUGUAAUGAAUUAUGGAUGGUUGAUUUUCUCAGAGAGGCCUGAUCUGUAAUGCAGAUGAGCUUCAAAGACCCCCUUUUCUUCUGGGUUCUUAAAAAACACACACACACCCGAGUUUUAAAUCAGAAUCUGGCAUUUGCAGUAGUCCCUAGUCACAGUAGUAACUACUGAAUACUGAUGUUAAUUCUCAUGCAAAACAAAGGCCAAAAGGUCACUAUCUGCUAUUUGUUCAGGAAAACCUUGUAGGAUUUGCACUGAACGCGGAGACCGCUGGGGUAUUUUCUUUUUAAUUUAUUAUUAUUAUCAUCAUUCUUUUUAUUAUUAUUAUUAUUAUUAUCAUUAUUAUUGCUGCUGCUGCAAAAAAAGCAGCAUAUGGUACAGAGCUCAGAAGAGGAGGCAUUAGAAAUAAAUGCCAUUCUGUAUAUGGUAAUAUUAUUCUCAGCAGGGGUUCCAAGACUAGGUUGCGGACUAGUUAACAGAAUUCCCGCUUCCUCUGUUGCCUUUGUCAACAAAAUUGUUGCCCAAAUGUGACCCCAGGAUGUUCACAGCAUGCGCUUUGAUCUAGAGUAUCAGUAGCUUUUCUAUGGGCUAGAAGUGCUAAUUCAGUGACUGUUAUGAAGCAUACAGAACUCCUAUUGCUUGGCAAGUAAAAUGCCAUCCCUGAUGCACCAGACAUAAACCGUGGUAUCGGCUUCAAGUUUGGGGGUGUGGGUAAUGCUGCUUAAACUGGGAGGGAGGCCAUUUGAAAUCAGAGGCCAUUUGAAAUCCUAUCCUCACUGUGGCCAACCAGAUGAGGAUGAUAAUGAAGAUUUAUUAAAUUUGUAUAGGAGGAGGAGUUUGGAUUUGAUAUCCCACUUUAUCACUACCCGAAGGAGUCUCAAAGCGGCUAACAUUCUCCUUUCCCUUCCUCCCCCACAACAAACACUCUGUGAGGUGAGUGGGGCUGAGAGACUUCAAAGAAGUGUGACUGGCCCAAGGUCACCCAGCAGCUGCAUGUGGAGGAACAGGGAAUCGAACCCAGUUCCCCAGAUUACGAGUCCACCACUCUUAACCACUACACCACACUGAAGAUCUCGGGGCAUUUCACAAAAAAUGCCUCACGGCAUUUCACAAAAAACGCCACAAACAAGUCCCGAGUGCAAUAUCACUUUCCCUCUCUGUGGUUUCCAGGAACUGUUUUGCCUCUGACCAUGGAGGCAGAGCAAGAACCAUCAUGGAUGGUAGUCAUCAAUAGUCUGCUCCUCCAUGAAUUUGUCCAAUCCUAUUUUAAAGCCAUCAAAGAUGGCUGCUCCCUUAUGCGAGCAAGUCACAUAGUUUAACUAGGUUGUACAGUGGUACCUCGGGUUACAUACGCUUCAGGUUAGACUCCACUAACCCAGAAAUAGUACCUUGGGUUAAGAACUUUGCUUCAGGUUAAGAACAGAAAUCAUGCUCUGGCGGUGCGGCGGCAGCGGGAGGCCCCAUUAGCUAGAGUGGUGCUUCAGGUUAAGAAUGGACCUCCAGAACGAAUUAAGUUCUUACCCCGAGGUACCACUGUACAUGAAGUACAUCUAGAACUCUAUUUAUGAGCAGACAUAUAUAGGAUCACAGUGUUCAUUUCACUGACAUUACUGUGAGGCAGGAGAGAGUUGCAGUGAGAUAAUGUUUUCAUUACUCUAAACCUUUGCUCUUACCCGUUUAUAAUACUUUGCACUUAAGUAGUGCUUUUGGGUGUUCUUAUGCACAAUAGUGAACUUAGGUGAGGAGCGCUGACAGGAUUGGAACCAAAUGAACAAACAAGGCAGUAAUGGCAUGCUCCGGAAGUUAACAAAAAAUGUAAUGAUAUUUGGGGUGGGAAUCGAAGUGGGCGACCCUGCCACCAUAAAACACUGAAGGAAAAUGGAGCUUGCUCUGUAAACACACAAAUGUUGACUGACUAUUGGAAAAGGAGAAAAAAUGGAGGCAAGGCUAGCAGUCAUUAUUUUACUGCACUUUCAGGUUGCAUUUGUUACCUUACAACAACCCUGUAAGAUAGCUCAAUAUUUACCCCUUAUUGCAAACAAGGUUAUGAGGCUUGGUGAUGCUGGAGAGAGAGAGGUUUGGAAGAGAGAUUCAUUACUCUCUCAUAGCAGAUUUAGCACAAUGACAGUUGCUCCAAGCACAUUAAAACUUAUAUUUACAUCUGACCUCACCCACCUUCAAACAAACAUUCCCCACAAAAAUACUUUGGAUAGAAUAAGUUGCACUUAGCUUUACAAAUAAGUGAAAAUUUUACUCAGUUUUCCGAAGUUGCAGCAAACAACCCUCCAAACUGUUGGCAGUAAAAUAUAGACGAAAAAGGUUCCAAAUGACUUAAAAAGAAAUAACUUGCAGGAGAAUUAUGCAGUCUUAAAGAUGCUGGCAGCAAAAAUCUUUUGGAGAGAUUCUGGGCUUCCAGCAUGCUCUAGGAAGUUGGGGGGGGGGGGGAGAAGCAGAGGCUGCUGGGAGCCGGUUGGUCUCCUCCCAUGGUAAGUUGCUCAGGGCUUUGUGCACACAGGUGUGAAUCAGUAACUGUAUAUUACAACAGCUGAAAGCCAUUUGGUUGAGUACUCCGCCUUUGAGUAGAGCUUAUUGCAACACUGAACUGAAUGAGAAGACUUCUGCAGGUAAGGGACUAUCAUACACAGACCAGAAUUUCCUUACCCCAAACUCUUAUUGGGGUGCAAAAGCCUCAUAGGGAAGUCAUUCCCAGGUAGAACUUAAAGCUGCUGAGCUAUAUGUCUAAGAAAUGUCUGUGGCAUACCUUCCAAUAUCAAAUGUAGAAAAAAAGGCACCCAUUUUAUAUUAAAUAUGGGAAGCAACCCAACCAUGUUAGAUAGUUUCUUCAAUAUAACCAGGCACUGUAUCCCACCAAUUAAUUUUUUAAGAUGGGAGCAUCUGUGCUGUAUAGCAUAUUCAGCCUCAUUUCUGAAAGACAAGGAGUAUUCUGAAUUCUAAAAUCCUGUAUACAUUAAUGGUUAUGAGAUCCAAUUGCCAGGUAAGGCAGGCUGAAUUUUGCCAACAGCCAAAUAAGAGACAGUUGGUAGAAAAGCUCUGCUAUUAACCAAGAAGUAAAUUGCACAGCUGCUGAGACGUAUCUAAUAAACGAGUGCAAUUGGAAGGUAUUGACUUAAACAUAUUGGGGAUAUUUAUGCACAAAUGAUACGAAAUUAUCCAUUUACACUAGAUGUUAAUACUUUUGUACGUAUAGGCACAGUUUUCUUUCUGAGUCCCAGUCCAAGCUGAACUGACGGAUACCUUUGACACCCUUUAUUGUGCACAGUAUAAGAUAUGCUAUGGCAGCUCAAACUACUAUUGCCUUAUGUGGUUAAUCUUGAGAAAGGUCAUAGGUUGUUGCAGUUGGCUGAAGGCAGAACAGAUGGGAAGUUCAAUAUCAAGGCCCAUAUCUAGGCUGGAGCUCAUCUCCCUCUGUCAGCCUGUGUGGAGAAAACAAGUCUCCACGACAAUGCAUUGGGUUUGUGGGCUAUUGCAGUGAGUGGCUUUCAAAGCAGAUCCCACAAAUUCAUGGAGGGUAAGGCUGUCAAUGGCUUUUUGCCUUGAUGGCUGUGUACUACCUGCAGUGACAGAGGUAGUACACCUCCAAUACACCUACUGAUAAUAACGAGUAAAGGGAAUACUAUUGUGUUUGUGUCUUGCUUGUGGAGGCAUCUGGGUGGUCACUGUGAACACAGGAUGCUAGAUGGGCCUUUGGUCUGAUCCAGCAGGGAUCUUCUUAAGAUCUUACGAAAUGAUGAUGCCUCAAGAGACUUAUAUGUGAAACAAGUAAAACUGAUCUAAUACUAUGCAACUCUUACUUCAAACUGAUUUCGAAUUUGGUUUUGGUUCUUUGUUGGUACGUCUUCCCACUAAUUGAGGUGUUUGAAAUUCCUGAUUGAAGACGCUGUAUGGCAUACUUUCAGUUCUGGUUCUGAGGUUGGCGAGCACAUCGCAAGGGGUGUAGAACAACAUCAGCCUCCUCAGAACAUUCUCCACCCCCUUGUUCCCGCUGUGUCCUUAGAUUGCCAGUAUUGUCAAAUGUUUGUGUGGUCUGGUUACUAUAUGCAGUUGAUAUUUCUGUGUUGUUGUCGGUAGCGAUCUUUAAAUUCUUGGAAGUGCAUUAUAUAAUUCUCCCCCCUUCCCAAUUGGUGCGAGUGGUUUCGUGGUCUGUUUCCACACUUCGAAGGGCCACCCUCGGGCUGCUGUAUACAAUAAAAACUCAACAUUUUGGGUCUAUAACUGCAAUAUUUGUAUACUUAUCUAGGAAUAAGCCCCAUUGAACAUAAUGGGAUUUAAUUCUGAGUAAAGAUGCAUAGGGUUGCACUACAAUCCUAAAUACUUGCUAGAGAGUAAGUCCCACAGAACUCAGAGGAACUUCUGGGUAAAUUUGCAAAAUGUUGUGUUUUAAGGCUACAAUACUUUGCACACUUACCUGGGAGUAAGCCUUGGUGAACUCAUAGGAACUUGUGUCUGGUUAGACAUGCGUACAAUUGCAAUAUGGUGUUACUGUUGAUUUUUCCUAUAACUUUUUGCAGACCAGCUUUGCUCUUUGAGUGAGGCACUGCAAGUAUAUAGCCUCUGUUUUAGUUGCAUCUGUUUUUAAAACACCUUUGGCUGUAUUGAUAAUUUUAUUUCUCACCUGCCAAGUACACAUUUUUCUUUAUUCAUUUUCACCUUUCCUUUCUUAAAAUCCAUCACAAACUUGUUUAGCCUGUCAUUAUGUAAUUACCUGAACUUCUGUCAUAUCAGGUUUGUUUGCUUGUUUAUGAAAUUUGCAUACCGCCCUAUACCUGCAGGUCUCAUCCAUCUGCUAAGUUGCCUCGGACACUAUUUUAGUAGGACAGAAUUUAUUUAUUUAUUAAAAACCAAAUAAAAUGAAUCCCUGCCAUAUGACACCAUCAAGAUUCUCAACAGUUCUUUAGCUAACUGUUGGCUAUACUUCCUUGAGCUGAAGAGUCCCAAAUUCCAAUCUUGUAAAUAUCUGUCUGCUAAAAUGUACAUUGUGCUUAUACUGAGUGUGCUCAGCCAGGAGCUUUGCCAUCCAGAUGACUCUGCCAAAUUCCCUGGCUGAUGCUGAAAGACGGCCACCAAGUAAGUAGGUUCAUCUGAAACUCUGUGCAUGCCCCAGGGCUGUGUGUGUGGUUUGGCUUUUCUCUGAGCAAUAAGUGCAGCAUUAUGGAAAAGCCCCUGUGUUGUAAGCCAAGAUUGAUUCCGGCGUGUUCCAGUCAUGAGCUGUAGACAAUAAUUGCCAAAUAGAUAUUCAAGGAGCCCAGUGCUAUAAUUAAUGCCACCAACACCAUUAAUUUGAUCAUAUAUUCCUGACAUCUCCAGAUAGGGGCUCUCCAGGAUUUUGCCCCUCUUUCAUAUUUCAACUUCUUUCCAGCCUUUCUAUACAUUAUGACAUUAUGGGUUCAGAUAUGUUAUCUGGUCUCUGCCAGGCUUGUUGACUCCAACUCUAGAUUGACCUACUCUGUAGUUCUUCCACCAUGACUGUCACCUUCAUCCUCCCCCCAUGAGUUGGUUAUCUUAAAAUUUUAUCACUUGCCACUAGAAGCUUCUGUGCUGCAUUGAUUACAAUCAGUUAGUUCUGGGUUAAUUUUUUCUUUUCUUUUUCUUUGGACUACUGCUCUAGCAACCUGGGCCUUGAAACACAUUUUUGUAAUCGAUAUCAGCAUCACACCGAUCUUCUGGGUAUGUUUCUAUUAAAUUAACUAUUUGUACAGAAUUUGAAUUAGUCACGCCCUGUAGACUCAGUAGAGAUUGUGCAUCAAAAUCUACUACCUAGAAUUCCAGCUGAGCUGUCUUGUAACUUGAAUAGCAUGUAUAAAGACAUGUACUGAACAAAAUUUCAUUUGCCAAACUCUUAGAAGUCAUAUCCAGGGUAUGGUUCCAUGUUACCAAUGUAGCAUUUGAAUGUUCAACUGGUUCAGCUUGUAAAUUACAAUGUGAUAUAAUUUUUUGAAAGACAUUAAAUUUGUCAGUGCCUAGAGUCAGUCUACUGUUUAGGGAUCAUUCAUGAGAAGACCCACGUGCUUCUUUUAGAGAUGAAUAAUUCAGUAUACCAAUUAAGAAAUCUUGUACUGUAGGUUUUAUCUGCUUCUGGCAAUGCAAUUGUAUUUCUGCUUUGGAAGGCCGGCCCUACCAUGAGACACGGUGCAGCCUCAGGUGGCAAAUGCUGAGUGAUGGAUAGUAGACAGAGCUGUGUGCCUGCUUUGUAUGCUGUAAGCUAUCUUGUUGCCCUUAAGUGUGGCGGAGGACUCUUGUCUCAUUACCAGUGUUGAAGUAACAUCCAAAUGCCAGUCUAGUCAGCUGUUGCACAUGUAAUGAGGGAGGCACCAUAUUGUCCUUUGCCCCAGGUAGCAAAAUGCAUUGAGUCAGCCCAGCUACCUUGACGUGCUAUUUCCCCAGUUUUACAGAUCAUAGGAAAAUUCUUGCAUUUGCCAUGUUUUGUGACUUGAAACAACACUGAUCACAAGCUUUUGACAGGGGGGUUGAACCCAGCACCCCAGAAUGGCAUUUCAGCAACACUUCAGAUGCUCAGUUAAAAAAGGGAAAGAGGAAGGGUAAGGUAGACAAUACUGUUUGUUUGUGUACAGUGGUACCUCUGGUUACAUACGCUUCAGGUUACAGACUCCGCUAACCCAGAAAUAUUACCUCGGGUUAAGAACUUUGCUUCAGGAUGGGAACAGAAAUUGUGCUCCGAUGGCCUGAGGGCAGCAAGAGGCCCCAUUAGCUAAAGUGGUGCUUCAGGUUAAGAACGGGCCUCUGGAAUGAAUUAAGUACUUAACCCGAGGUACCACUGUAUUGUCUUAUGCAGGCUUCCUCAACCUUUGCUCUCCAGAUGUUUUUGGCCUACAACUCCCAUGAUCCCUAGCUAGCAGGACCAGUGGUCAGGCAUGAUGGGAAUUGUAGUCUCAAAACAUCUGGAGGGGCGAGGUUGAGGAAGCCUGGUUAUGUAACCAAGCCAGCCAACAGGAUUUCUGGGCCUGGUUCACUAUGAGUAUUGGGCCUUCUGCCCACAAACAAAUUUAUUUUCCUAGUUUAGAAAAGAUCUGGUGUGUUCAGGGUGGUAAGGCUAAACCACUUCCUGUUCAUUUAACUCUUAACUGCCUUUUGCCAGCCAAGUCACACACACACUCCAAUCUCUUUCUUUCCUGAAAGAUAAUCACAUAUGCAAAUUAAACCUGUAUGUGUCCUGAUAUGCUGCACAGUUGGAGGAUUUCUUCUGUGUAAUCCUAUCCUGAGAUUUCUUUCUUGAUCAGACUUCUACACAGGGGUUGAGCUACUGAAUAAAUUGUCAGGACAAUAAGGUAAAACAUUAUUGGAAGUACAGUGGUGCCUCGCAAGACGAAAUUAAUCCGUUCCGCGAGUCUCUUCGUCUAGCGGUUUUUUCGUCUUGCGAAGCAACCCUAUUAGUGGCUUAGCGGAUUAGCGCUAUUAGCGGUUUAGCGGCUAUUAAAGGCUUAGCGGCUUAGCUGCUUAGCUGCUAAAAGGCUAUUAGCGGCUUAGCGGCUUAGAAAAAGGGGGGGGGGGAAGCGAAAAAAAAUCUCAAGACUCGCAAGACAUUUUCGUCUUGCGAAGCAAGCCCAUAGGGAAAUUCGUCCUGCGAAGCGCAUCGAAAAACGGAAAACCCUUUCGUCUAGCGGGUUUUCCGUCUUGCGAGGCAUUCGUCUUGCGGGGCACCACUGUAUGGGAACAUGCCACUGUCAUUGUAAAGAUCCCUUGAUCUAAGGCUGUGCUCUGAGACGAGUGACUAUUCCUGGCACUACAAAUGGAAGAAUCUGUUGAUUGGAAUUUGCUCUUAGUUUUUCGUUUUUCCACACUCGAGUUCAGUUCACCCCAUUUCCUCAUAAGUUUGUGGUUCAUUUAUUUAAAAAUAUUCUGUGUGCCCUUCUCACCUCCUUGCAAGGUGGUGGUGGUGGGGCUCUGUUGCAACAGGAAAAUAUAUUUUUUUAAAAAAAAUGCUCUAUGUGAAAAUGCAUCUUCAUUUUCAGGCACAUAUACUUAUUUUGGUACCCAUCUCCUCUGGUAUAUGCAGUUUUGCAAACCAUUUCCCCUCAUAUACUGUACCUUUGCAUGAUAAAUUUACAGAUAUACUUAUUUUUUUCUGUACACUUUCCCCUAAUAUAUGUGUGUGUGCAUGCCUGCGUUGGCUGGAGAAGCACCCGUUUGGGAAGCGUGAAUUAGGUGAGUUCACAUUAAAAUGUGAACUGGAACGAAUGUCUCCCUCAUCUCUGCUUGUAAUAACUCUUUGUUAAACACCUGCUGCUGCCCCAGUCGGUUCCAUUGCCAUUCUCAGCUUCAUGGUUGAGAUCCUUGGUUUGAGGCUGCUCCUUCGGUUGUUUUUCAUUCCAAGAAUGAGUGGGUAGAUGAGGCUUUUGAGCAAACUGCAAUUACACAAUGUCACAGUUGAUGAGAUUACAAAGAAGUAAACAUGUUGUUAAUAUUAGAGGGGAUAUUUUUAACAAUAGCUGCUUUAAAGGCACACAUUGGCAUCCUCUGUGGGAAAUCUUCUUUGGAGGAUACAAAAGGCAAGGAAGAACCACAUUAGAGCCAAAAUUUUUCAGCAGACCAGAAAUAUAGUGCAAUGAUGGUGGGUGACUAUGGUUUAAACUACUUACUUUAUACUAGGGGCUGAUGAUUUUCAAACUUUCUAGCAUCCAAGAACACUUUUUAGAUUUACUUAUCUGCAGAGGGCAAAGAGAUUGCUGUGACUGGAGGGGGAGCCCUUUCCUCAUGCUUUGAACCCCCCUGGAAACGCAACAAACCUCCUGUACCUGGAACUAGAUGUAGACAGGGCAGAUGAAUGGGGCAGAACUGUGGGCAGCCUGAGGUAGCGCCAUCCACCUUGGGCCUGCCCAUAGAAGGCAAGUGUAGAGAGACCAGGCUGAUGUCCACUAUUUCCAGGACCUCUUCUCACUGUGAGACUUUUAUGGAUGAGCUGAGAGUUUGUUUGAACCCAGAGUGAGAACCCGGAGGCUGAGAGGAAGGGUGUGUCAAAGGAAAAUUCACACACACACACACACACACACACACACAACUUUGCAUCAAUGCAACACUUUUACACGUAACUGUAUUUUUGUACUAUUUUGUUUAAGUUGUCUGUUGUUGCCUUAGUUUUUUGUGCACCGCAUUCAGACAUUUCCAAUAUGUUAAGCAGUGUAGAAAUUAAAUAAUCAAUCAAGAAGAUUAGUAUUGGUAGUUCUCUUUUAUGGAAGUCCAUCCACCCCCAUUGUUCUACCCUGACACUGAGGUCCAGCGCUGAGGGCCUUCUGGUGGUUCCCUCACUUCGAAAAGCAAAGUUACAGGGAACCAGGCAGAGGGCCUUCUCGGUAGUGGCACCUGCCCUGUGGAACACCCUCCCACUAGAUGUCAAAGGAAAAAACAAACUACCCGAUUUUUAGAAGACAUCUGAAAGCAGCCCUGUUUAGGGAAGCUUUUAAUAUCUGAAGGACUACUGUAUUGUAUUUUAAUAUUUUGUUGGAAGCCACCCAGAAUGGCUGGGGAAACCCAGCCAGAUGGGCGGGGUAUAAAUAAUAAUAAUAAUAAUAAUAAUAAUAAUAAUAAUUACUAUUAUUAUUUAUUUAUUGCAACAGUGGGCCAUUAUGCAGCAGCCAUAUGGCUGGGAGUUCGCUUCAGAUCUCAUACAAUGCCACAUUUUAACACAGCUACAUUGAUCAUCGGUUGUUUCCAGGCCCAGUUCGAAGUUCUCGUGUUGCUGUUUAGAGCCUCAAACACCUGAAAGACCACCAUCUCUCUCGGGUACUAAGAAGCUUUGGGUGUGUGCCUAUGGCAGCCUGGGAGAGGGCCUUCUCUGUGGCAGCCCCCAAGUUGUGGAACUCCCUUCCCACAGAAAUUAUGCAGCUUUUUUUGAAUGCUGAAGACAUGCAUCUUUCUCCUGUCAUUUGGACCUUUAAGAUGCACAUUUUUAGGACCCAACUUAUUUCUGUAACUUUAAGUUGUUUUAAACUGUUUUAAAUAUUGUUUUAAUUGUUGCAACUUGCAUUUGGACCUUAGGGUGAACGAACUAAUGAAUAUAAUAUAAUAUAAACUAGUAAUAACAACCUUCCCACUCAGUAAUCCCUGCUAGUCAUCCAAGGAGCUCCUGAGUCGCAUCUGCAAAUCAGAGCUGCAAUUCCCGGCACCUCUAUCAAACUACAGCUCCCAGGAUUCUUUGGGGGAAAUCAUGUGCUUUAUGUUACAGAAAUGUAAAUAAAAAAUCCUUUUGUACAGCCUCAUGUCUUGCACCUUUCCCCCAACACCCUCUCUGGAAAAUAGCUCUGGAAUUUUUUUUUGAAAUGUGCUGCUGAUAACUGCAUCUCAUUUGUUGUUGUUUUGCUUGUCACGCCAGGGGUCUCCCCCCACCCACACUUUUGCUCAUUCUCCCCCCGCCUUUUCAGUUACGAUGGCUUUGCAAUCUGACAAUGCCGCCACCUACGCAGUUUAGCAGAAAUUAUACAAAGAGGAUUGUGUCAAAAGACUUGCACUCUUGAACAGCCUCUGCUAAAUAGCAUGUUUUGUAUGAUUGAAGGAGGUUAGGAUUAAUUAUUAAGAGAAAAUGUUGCAUCCUUUUGCCCUCAUUUGGUUGAAAAUCGUCACAAAAGUGUAUUGCAGGAAAGAUUUGAUUUUGUGGGAGGAAUUUGCGCCUCCCACAAGCUAACCCUGUUCCUUUUUUGGCCUGUCAGGGAUUUCAUUAGGGGAGGGCAAGAGCAAAAGACCCCUCCCUGUUUCUUCACCUACAACUCCACUUCUUUCAUGUACUCUUUAUGACUAAGAUAAUUUUUGUUCCUGCAAGCCUGUGUUUUUAUCUGUUUUUCACUUAACCAUUGGUUUUAAGUUUAUCCUGUUUUAAACCUUUUUUCGGAGCAUUUUAAUGCUUUAUUUUUUGUAAACUGCCUAGACGUUCCAUUAGCAAUCAAGCGGUAUAUACAUUUUGUUAAAUAUAUGUGGUUUCCUCCCCCUGUUUUAGAACUUCUUCAUAGGAAACAAACAAAAGAAGGCGCAAAAUGGCUGCUUUUCUCCCUCUUGUUGAUGCCUCUUGGGUUUUCAGUACCUUUUCUAAAACUAUAUUUUUUUGUAGUGGUUUAUUCACUGCGCAUUACAAGGCUCCACUAAGCAACGGGGGCAAACAACCUUGCCUAUUUUCCUUUGUCUGAUCUUAGAGACCUUCUUCCCUUUCAGCCCUUUCUGAAAUUAUUUCCUUUCUCUUGUCUGCUGUUCUGACUGGAGGACCCCCCCUUUUGCAGGUCUGCCACCCCACUCUAGGCUUCUCCCCCCCACCCCAAUACACACAGACACCUUCCCUGACUGCUGUUGUCUCUUUGCAGCGAUGUUCUCUCUCGCCAGCCCCUCUUUAUCUCUGCUUACAUCUCUGUUUAUGUGACAAGGGAAAGGUUGGCGGAUGAAGGAAGGAGAUGGGAAUUCCCAGGUUGAUCCGAAGCAAAGAAAUCUCUGCCGGUUUCGUUCAGAAAGAAAAUAAGCAGCCUUUCCAUGCUCCCCUGCCAGUGUCAUAAACACGACUCUGCCAAGGCGUAUGGUUUGCGUCCGGCUCUGUCCUGGCCUGUUGCUGGCCUUGCCCUUUCACCAACAUGUGCUUGCUGCCAACCAACUGACUGGGACCAAGUAGGGGUGGGGGGCAGUUAGGAGCCUGGAAGGGAUGGAGAAAGACCCGUCCUCCCCGUGGGCUGAACCCAAAUGCCCCAGGCCCCUCAGUCUAACCAUGAUAGACUCUCCUUUAAACAGAGGUUGGGUGGCCCUCUGUCAGGGAUGCUUUAGUUGUGCAUGGCUGGGGUUUGGACUAGAUGACCUAGUUCUCCUGGUUUGUCCCACGGAGGACCUUACGGUCUUCAGACAAAAACAUCUUGGAGGUCUCGGGCCACAGAGAGGUUAGGCUGGCCUCAACCAGAGCCAGGGCUUUUUCGGCUGUGGCUCCAAUCUGCUGGAACGCUCUAUCACAAGAGACUAGGGCCCUGCGGGACUUGACAUCUUUCCACAGGGCCUGCAAGACAGAGUUGUUCCACCAGACCUUUGGCCAAGGCACAGCCUGACCCCCUCCUUUGGCAAUUCUUCACAGAACUCUAGCCCAAUGGUUGCCAUUAAUCUGAUUUGAACUGAUUUUAUAAUGAACUGAUUUUAGAAUGUUGUGUCAUUUUACUGUUGUUAGCCGCUCUGAGCCCGGCUUCGGCUGGGGAGGGCGGGAUACAAAAUAAAAAUUUUUAAAUUUAUUAUUCUAUGAGGAGUGCACACAAUUCCCAGGCUGAGGGGCUUGUUGGGGGAAGCACUAGCUGGUACUCUAUGGAAGCUGCUGGAAGACUGGUGGGCCUGGGCGGGGGGUGGAGUGGGCAAAGAUGGAGGUGUCUGAGCGUACCCCCUCACUUGCAGCCAGGCCCACCUGGUCACCCAUCUUUGGGGGUGGAGAGGGAGACCCAAACUCUGCCCCCAUCUCCCCUCUUCCUCCUCGCUGGCUGCCGUGUCUUUGGCGUUCAAUGCUGAGUGAUUUGUAGAGAAGAUUUUAAAUAAUUUUUUUAUUCCUUUGUACCCAUUGCAUGUGAUUUGUGGGUUUCAGCACUUGGGUCGUGGAGAGGUAACAGCGGCCUUCGCGAUACCAUAUUGGUUUCUCAAGUCAGCCGGAAAUGAAAAACAGAGACAAGUACCAAAUUCUCUGUUUAGGCAACAAGAGGGAAUGAAAUAGGCAUAGGAUUCUUAUAUUUCAGGCGGAUCUGCUUGGCUGAUCAGCCACUGAGGUCUGGCACUUGUGUCAGGCAUUUAUCAUUCUACUUGCAGUCGUGUCUGAUUUGGCUCCUUUGCAUCUCAUUGGCCCUCACUCUCAUGUGAUUAGCUCCGGCAGCUAGUUUGGGGUGUCCAUUGAAAGGCCAACUAAUUGCUAGUUUUUUAAUUUAUUGUUCCUAAUCCCUUCCAAGCUACGCAUGGGAUGUGCACCCUUAACCAACUACAGUUCCCAGGAUUCUUGGUGGGGAAGCCAUGACAAAAUGGUACGAUGCUUUAAAUGUACGGUGAAGAUGUGGCCUUGUCUCUUCUUUUGUCUUCAAUAUCGGGAAUAUAUAUAUUUUUUACAAUGAUGGGCAGUAGGUCCCGACGGAGAUUAUGAAAUCGGAGAAUUCUGUUUACCAGCAAGUAACCUUCUUUUCUCCUUCAUGAAAUGCUUUGGAACGAGAACACUAAUCAGCGGUAUCACCCUCUUAAGACGCGGAGCACUUAAUUAAAUGAGAAUCGAAGCACUACCCUCAUCCGCUGCAAUCCAGGGAGCAACAUUUUACAGGAGUGUGAACAGAAUGCUGAGUAAGAGUUAAAUAUAGUUCAAAAGCAGGCACACACAGAGGCAGCUGAGCUUACCAGAUUUCUCAGUGAAUGCACUCUCAAUCCACCUGAUGCCAGCAUGCCUGCUGAUGAUAAUAAUCCGUGUUAUUCAUUUGGAAAGAGUGCACUGAGUAGGUCUGCUCUUUGGAUUUAUUCCUAAUAGCUAUAAACAGGAAGAAGUACAGAAGUCUUAUGGCUCAGAACUAGGAUCCAUUGCAUAGGCACAGCUCGUAGAACAGGAUUAAGGGUUCUGACUUUGGCGCAAGGAUAUAACAGCAUACGAGGGCAAACUGAGGUUGAACCGAGAGUUAAUUGUUCUGAGAUCCAUUAUUGUGCAGUACAUAAUGGCCAGACCCCCCUUGUGUUGCUGGGAUUUUCUUAAAAGAUGGGACGGACAGAAGUGUUGGGGGAAAGGUGCAAGACACGUUGCUGUACAAAAGGAUUUUUAAAUUUACAUUACAUGCAUUUAAAGCACAUGAUUUCCCCCAAAGUGGCGAGCACCCUCUAAAUGCCCUUUCUGUUGCCCUCUUUCCAACCCAUACCAAAAAUACUGUAUACAAAAAUAUCCACAACUUGAGUUGAAGCUCAGGGGCUGGCAGGAGUGCUCUGGCCAGUGUUCAAGGAACAAUCCACCCUUUGAUGCAGACACUUCUUCAUUCACGUUAAAUCACACACACACACACACACACACACACACACACACACACAGUGGUACUUCGGGUUACAGACACUUCAGGUUACAGACUCCGCUAACCCAGAAAUAGUACCUCGGGUUAAGAACUUUGCUUCAGGAUGAGAACAGAAAUCACACGGUGGCGGCAUGGCGGCAGCGGGAGGCCCCAUAGGCUAAAGUGGUACCUCAGGUUAAGAACAGUUUUAGGUUAAGAACAGACCUCUGGAACGAAUUAAGUUCUUAACCCGAGGUACCACUAUAUGACAAUUUGAAGGAUAACUACAUUAGGUAAAUGCCUGGAUCUAGCUAGGGCAGGGAUAGAUAACGUGAUACCUUCCAGAAGUUGUUGACUCCAACUCCCAUCAGCCCCAACCAGCACGGUCAGGGAUCAUGGGAGCUGUAGUCUAUCCAGAACACCUGGAGGGCAACACACUGAGUUGCCCAUGCGCUAAGGGGGUCAUGCCCAUGCCCAAACAGCCUUUCACAUCCUUCCUCCGUUGGGGAUGGGGAAUUGUGCCUGUAAGCAGCAGAGGUGGUUUCCCCUGUCUAAAUCCACCAUCUGAAGCGGAGUAUGUAUUCAGAGUCCUCGCUUGAGUAAUUUGAUCCGUGCCUACCAGCUUUGUGGGACUUCCCUGCCCCAAUUGGUGCUAUUCAGUCUCUGAGCAGCUGCAGCACAGGCAACCCCAUGUUUCUGCAACGUGUUGGUUUGAAUCAGUCCAUGGCAUUUUCGAGAACAGCUUUGUGAGCACCUGAUUUGUGGUGGUGGCGGGGGGGGGGGAGAGAAGGGUUAUGCUGCAACUAAGCCUACUGAGAAAAGCUUUUAAAGGCUGCUGAUCAUUGAUCAGAAAGAUGAAGUUCAAUGGUCUUUCUAAAACAGUUUUAACCAUAAGGCAGGAAGGAGACCCUUAAGCAACGUGAGGUAGGCAGAGAGAGCUGGGAAAUUAACCUAUGCAGCUGAUAAGAAAGGUGUUGACGAUUUGAGAGAGAGAAAAACCGGGAGUGAAACUAGCUUUAGGAUUUAUCCUGCAAAUGAUUGGAUAGCAGGAAAGAAAGAGGGGGAGAGAAGCAGUAGCAGCAGCCUGCUUUUUCUUUAAAGUGUGUGGCAUCCUUGUGGGAGAUUUUCUGGAUUCUGGUAAGCUAUUUCCCCCCUCUUUGGAGGAAAUAGAAAUGGCUUGGCCCUUAGCAACCCAGCUUACUUCCUAGUUUUGCAGGCAGAAAUAUGUGUGUGCUGGGGUGGGGGAGAAAGGCAUGAGUAUGCAGGGUCCUGUCAGGUGGCAGGAAGAGAGAUCCUCUGCCAAUAGAAGGAAUCAAAAGGGGAAUAAACACUGGGAUAAUCAAUUCUCCAGACUUUAUUGCCUCUAGCUCUUGGGAUUGUUCCUCGGAGAGAUCUCUCACUACAGUGAAAGCCAGAGCUGUAAAAUGUCUUGCAAUCUUUGAAGGCAUAGAGGGAGAAAACCUCAGGCGUAAAACAGACCCAAGUUGGGUGUGCAGGUUCAGGGAAUUGGGUUGACUUAUUAUGGUGGCAAUGAUAAGCAGACCUCCUUGGAAUCGCCUGUUUAUUUGUAUAUGGGGCUUAGACAUGCAGAAUUAGGUGAGCAGCACAGUUAUGAGCCCUACCACCUUUAACAGCUGUCUUGACACACACAAAUACCGUGUUUUCCGGCGUAUAAGAUGACAGGGCGUAUAAGACGACCCCCCAACUUUUCCAGUUAAAAUAUAGAGUUUGGGAUAUACUCGCCAUAUAAGACUACCCCUCUUCCAACGCACACCAAAUAAAAAUUUAAAAAACCAGUCUCCAGUCCGGCUCGGAAAUCCGCUCCACUUCUCAGUGGCUGGGGGCUUCUGGGGCCAAUUUUCAAGCGUAUUUCUGCUUCAUCUAGAGAGCUUGGUGUCCUCUGAUUUAAUUUGCUGUUGUUUCAUCCUUUGGUGGGGAGUUGCUGCAGGAGCUGCUGCUGUAGCUGGCGUAUAAGACGACCCCCGACUUUUGAGAAGAUUUUCCUGGGUUAAAAAGUAGUCUUAUACGCCAGAAAAUACAGUAGGUGUAGUUUUUCACCAGUCCUGGCUGGUUGAGGCUGAUGGGAGUCCAAUAACAUCUGGAGAGUCAGAGGUUAGCCAGCCCUGCUAUAAAAGUUUCAGCUACUUCGUUUCUGGGUUAAAAACUGUGUGAAAAACCAUGGCUUAAGGCUUUGUGUGAGAGCUGGAAUGAGCCCAAGUGAGACUCAAGCUUCCAUGUUCGUGUGGCAGAUUUUAGUUUCACGUUCACAAAAUCGGGGAGCAACGGAGCAUGAACCGGGAACCAUGGUUUGUAACAAACCCUGGUCAGCUCCAGAACAAGCCAGCUUCAAACAUGAUGCUGGAGAAACCAGCCAGAGUUUAGCCUUGCUCAGACUUGUUGCAGCUCAUGCAUAUAGCGCUAAAUAGGCAGGAACGGUGCAAAAAAUAAAAAAUAAUGGCCUAGCAUUCUAUGGCUCAGCAAUACUUAGAUGAACCCUACAAGGUAGAUCAGUAUUAAUAUUUCCAUAUUAAUUGUUUGGGAGCGGACUGAGACUGAAACAGUGACUUGCCUAAGGCUGCUUAGUGUGUUCCUUUCUAAAACGGGAUUUAAUGCGAGAGCAUCUCUGCUCACACUCUUAGCCUCUGGCCUCAUUCAAGUGAGCUAUAGGCAGGUGGAGACACACCUCUGCCGCACCACACUGGCUGCGACUGCACCAGCCAGUCUAACCUUUCCUGGUGGGCCUUUGACCCCGGUGAGCAGGGUCUCUGUAACUGACCUCAAAUCUCUGGCAGUUUCGUGUAGGUGCAUUCUGGGUAGUUUGCACCCAAACCAUUGCCAACACCUUGAAUUGGGUCUAGAAGCAUAUAAGCAAUAGAAGAGGCAGGUCUCCUUUUCCUUGACACCUAGGCUGUUAAGGAAGUUCCUGUGGUGUAUGCAUAAUGUGAGCUGAAAUCCACAUCUAUCCUUGCAUUUGCCCUGUUAUUUCUUAGGAAAUACUGCAUCUUGAUGCUGUUUCCCCUCCAAACCAGCUUUGAUUGAAAUUGAGAAAAUGAAUGGCUUGGCUGUGUUUCCAGCUGGUACACAGCCCCAGACAUGGGUACCGGAUUUGAGCAUAUGGCAGUUAACAGCCAGGGCUAGGACUGUGUCCUUUGAGAUUACUUGAUCAUCUCCAUACAUCUUUUAACACCAUGGGGAUGAUUUGGGUUGUGGGAAAGUGAUUGGAAAAGGAGGAGAGAGGUGCAAAAGGACAGGAUUUAGGUUUUCGACAGUCAUUUCUUGUUUUGUGUCAACUGGCAAGAUAUAUUGGGGUUGUUAUGGUUAGUGUGGGUGUACUUGGGUGUUACCAGCACAGAUAUUGCUGAUCAAGCUCCAUCGCUAAGCAAAUUCCACAUACCUCGAUGAGAGAACCACUUAUCUUUGCACAAAUGCACCUGUAUUUGCUUUUAAUAAAACUUGCUAAUAUUUAUGAAGCGCCGUAAUGGGGAUUUUAUUUUCAUCCUUAAAUCUACUACAUUUAUUAAAAGCCAUCCGGUUAUUCUUUUUCUUUUCUUUUCUUUUCUUUUUUUAAAAAAGCAUUGCUAAGCAAACAUAUUAGCUUCAGUCGGUUGAUUUGGGGGUGGGGGGAACAGAGCAAGAUGCUAUCGCGCAAUUUGCUAUACCCCAAAAUACCUAUUGCUCCCUAGACUGUCAGAUUACAUUCUUAUCCUGUUGAAACUAAUUGAAUUGAAAUAAGUGAUUAACAGAGCAUCUGCACAAUUAGGUGGGCAUUUUUCUUCCAUUUCAAUUAUAUCAUACUUGAAGGGAGAGAAAAGAAUCUCUUAAGGCGGAAGAAGCAAGGAAAUGAGGUAUAAAUAUCCAUCAGUACCAUUAUAGCCUAGUCUCUUACCAUUUCCUUUAGAGGACUCUGUGUGCAAAGAUUUAUAACUCAGCAGCGUUGAAAGGAUUUACCCAAAGAAAUCUUUGUUCUGGUUUUAAUGCAGUUUCGAAGCUUGGCAAAUAGAGGUGGAGGAAAGUGCCGGAGGUGGCAAAUCAGGGAUUGAAUUAGUGCUUGUGUAACUGCAGUCCUAGUUAACUAGGUAUCAUCAGUAUAAGAACAUAAGAUAGUCAGUGUGCUGUUGUGGUUAAGAGUGUCUGGUUGGGACCUGGGAGUUCAUAUUCCCACUCUGCCAUAAAACUCAUUUGGUGACCUUGGGCCUGCUAGAAUUCCUGCUCCGUGAUUGCAGUCAUGGGAUUGUUGUCUUUCACAUGAUGGUGUAUGUUUUGAUUCCACAGAGUGGGAAGUGACGGAGACAGGAUGUUUGUCUUACUGUGUUCCUUGAAGUGGGACUAUUGUCCUUUGUUCUCUCUCUUUGCUGCCUGAUACUAGAGAGAGAGGGAGCCAUGUUGCAGUGCUCCGUGUGUGUUUAUAUGUAAAUAAAGCAGAUUAGCCAAAAUGCUGAGUUGCUGAGGUCUGUUACGCAAGCUGCGAAGACUCUGUAGAUCCCUAAGUGUGCCGAUGUCUGUUGGCAUCGGUCGCUUAAUGUUCGGGCAGAAGAAAGCUUUUGAAGCUCCUGAACGAUCAACCAGGAGGGAGAGAACAUGCCAGUCGGGCAUGUGUCUCUGCCAGGGUCCUACUCAAAUGUAGGGCGAGCUCCUGACAGGGCCUAGUCACCGCCUCUCAGCCUAACCUAACUCCAGGGUUGUUAGGAGGGAAGGGACAACCAUGUACACCAUCUUGAGCUCAUUGGAAGAAAGGCGAUAUAUAAAUGAAAUAAAAUAGAUAAAUAAAAAUCAUGUGGGAUCAUACCAAAAACUCAUAUAGUCCAUUUCUCACAGCGGGACAUCUGAUGCCUGUGGAAUGCCUGCAAGCAGGGCAUGAGCAUAAUCACCCUCUCUCACUGUUGUUCACCAGCAACUGGUAUUGAGAGGUGUACAGGUGACUCCUCAUUUACACGGUUAUAUUCCAGGCCUCCGCACGCAUAUGCAAAAUUGCGUUAGUGGGGAGCACCCUGGAGAGUCUUCCUGGCUCUGGAGGAGACCCACCCCAGAGACCCUCUGGGGCAGGUUUCUUUGCAAUUUGGAGGGGCAGCGAGGCUUUGUUGAGCUGCUCAACCUCCCCGCCGAACAGCUGAUGUUCGGGGUAGCACAGCAGCACUAGCUGCUUGCCCACAUGUCAGCUGCAUCCAGUGUGCUCCCACCAUUGGUUUAGGAAGUGGUGCACAUAUGAUGUGAGCUGCAAUCUAUAUCUAUCCUGCGCUUUACCGCUGGUUCCAAAACUGCAGUGAUUUUUAUUUAUUUCUUAGAAUUCCCAAGGAAUGCUGGCACGAGGUUGCUAUUGACUAAUAAAUUGCUUGUGCCAUGAGUUUCCGAGGGUGAAGAAUUAUACUGCUUUAGGAUCAUGAAGUAGCUAAUAAAAGUCUUAGUUAUUGGAUACAUGCUUUUAUUUUUUUUAUUCUCAUCUUGUUACCUUCUGCUAGAAUCUAUCCACUAGACUAGAUUGCUAAAUCUUGGGUUAAAAUCAGUGCUUGAAUUACAGGAGAGUUAAAGGGGGCCUAGACCAUUUUCUUCUGCCCAUUUAACUAAUCUUUUUAGAAGGCUAUGGAACUGUGGGUAUGAUUUGGUUGGAAAAAAAAUAAAGGGAUUCCAGGGCUUUUGUUAAGGUCUCUUCCUUUCCUCCCAUAAUUCAAGCUUUUUCUGGAAACCACCCCAAAUUGCUGUGGUUGUGUUCUCAUUUCGUUUCAGCCUCAGAAAAUCAAAAAGUUUCUACUCUUUGCUUAGCCCCCCACUCUUAAGAUGCUCCCACCUCUAGUAAUUCAUGGUGCCUUUGUAAAGCUAGAAAUUGUAUUUUCGUCUAUCUAGCUAUGUUUAUGAUUGCUUCAGUAAUUGCAGUGUUCCUUAUUUUUCCUCAGAUUGCGUUAUUUGAGUUUGUGCAUUCAAUUAUAGUAAGUUCAUUAAAAAUGUUCCGUGCCUCAACCCACUCUAAUGCUCCUUUAAAUAACAGAAGUUGCCACUUUGAAGCAGACCUGAAUGAAAUUGAAGUCGAAGCCUAAGAUUAACAAAAUUAAUUAUUAAGCAACAUUACCAUAAAAUGGGAUUUCUGUAAAAUAUUUUAAAAGCUGUCCAUAAAUACUGCUGCUGUUACACUGUGUUGGUUUUGAGGGCUCCUUUGAGUUUUGUAUCAGUAUUAGGGGAUAGCUCCUUAGUUAUUUUCUUCAUCAUCUGCUCAAUAAGUCUGUGAGUCUUUGUGAGUCAGAAAAAUAGUGAAGUCCCACUGUGUGCUGGACUGUGUGUGUGUCUGUCUGUCUAUCUAUCUAUCUAUCUAUCUAUCUAUCUAUCUAUCUAUCUGUCUAUCUAUCUAUCUAUCUAUCUGUAUCUAUAUAUAAAAUCUCAAAUAUAACAGAAGGCAAGGGAGGCAAAGUGAGAAAAACAUUGCCAGAAUCUGUAGAGUCAUAUAAGCAGUCCAUGUGUCUGAAGAGGUAUCUAAAUGAGAUUGAUGAUCAUUAAUUCCAGUGUAGAAAGGGCAGUGAGAGCUUCACUGUACAGUGGAUGGUGGGUGUUUAUCAUUUCUUGCUUGCAAUGUAAGUCUCUUUGCCACGAUAAGGGCUUAUAGGAUCUUUGUCCAUCUAUUAGUCCUCUGCCAUGUUUUCGGACUCAAGAGGCACUGCCUUUUGGAAAUUUUUAUGUGAUUGGGGCAUUGUUGAAAAUGAUGUCAUCGUGGCUUUUCAGUGCUUGCAAAAAUUCAGUGGUACCUUGGUUUACGAACUUAAUCUUUUCCGGAAGUCCGUUCUUAAACCAAAGCGUUCUUAAACCAAGGCUUGCUUUCCCAUAGAAAGUAAUGGAAAAUGGAUUAAUCCGUUCCAGACGAGGAAAAACAACCCCUAAAACAGCAAUUUAACAUGAAUUUUACUAUCUAAUGAGAGCAUUGAUCCAUAAAAUGAAGGCAAUAAUCAAUGUACUGUACUAUAAAAUAAACAAGACAGUAUUGUAGAUGAUAAAAAUUAAAAUUAUUAUUUUUUCCUUACGUGCACUGAUGAUAGUCAUUGUUUGGAUGGGGGGCUUUUAUCCAUUUCUGCAGUCACACAAGUAACCAGUAGCUGAACUGGGUUCCACACAGUCUCAAAAACAAGCCACAAAAACUAAGUCACAAGCCACAGUCACAAGUCAGUUCCAUAAAACGAAGAACAAGUCACAGUCAAAAAAUUGAAAAAGUCACACAAACAAAAACACAAAAAUAAAUAAAUAGCAAAAACAGAAGCUCCAAAUAUCACCUCUUCAUUGUGUGGGUGCUUGGGACUCAACAGCCGACAGACUCAACAGGAAGCCUCUGAUUAGCAGCGGGGGACUCAAUUUACAAACUGAACACACUCAACAGGAAGCGGAACAUGUUCUGCUUCCAAGGCAAAGUUCACAAAUCAAAAUACCUACUUCCGGGUUUGUAGCAUUCUUAUUCCAAGUUGUUCAUAAACUCAGCUGUUCUUAAACCAAGGUACCACUGUAUUGUGUUUAUGGGAGACUGAGCCAUGCGGCUCUUUUCUCCAGGACACAUAAGCCCAUGAUCAUGUGGAAGAAAUCCCUGCUGCAACUUUCCCAAAUCGGCAUCACCCCUCCCAGAAAUAGGUGCAUUGCUGGCACCUUACAGCUCCUUUUUGACCGUUAAAACUUUUAAGGGAUAGAAGUGGCCCAAGAAAUUGGGUGGUGAUUCUCAUCUGUGUGGCCAAAACUGAACAAACACUUAAGAGACCCUGCAAUCUGUUUUAAACAUGGAAAGAAUCUUAGCAUGAACACAUUCCUUUUAGGAAAUUAAAUCUGAUCAUUGGAAGCAAAUGUUAUGGGUGGUGAGAAAAAACACACCCCUAUAUAGACAUACAGUCGCUGCUAAGGAGAAAACAAGAUUAGAGAGGUCCUGGGAGACCUUAUUGCAUUUUCAAACAGUGUUAGAAACUGGGAUAUGAAAGCUAGGAGCUAAAUGGUGCUUUAAACCUAGGUUAUGGGCACAACAAUGGAAUGUCUUGGCACACUUUUUUCUAACAAGAAUACAAAGCUGAAAAUGAACGAAGCGGCUAAAAUCUUACAUUCAUUUUUCACAUGGGCUAAUCCUCAUCUGAAGACUGCAAAAACAAAGCCAUGCUUCCCCUGCCAGCCCCCCAAAUAUUCUUAAGAGGGUCUCUUCUCCAGAGGGUGGCUGGAAGUGGGGAGGCAGAAAAAGGUCCUCCUUUGCUUCCACUCUGCAGUUUUAAUCUGAAAUUUUAGGACUGCGCCCAGAGUGCAGAAACCGCUUCUCAUUAAUGAAAUUCCUUGUCGCACAACGCGCCUAGAACAAUGGGAGUUUUGAGCGCUGUUUUCAGAUCCCUAAUACAUUUGAGAAGCUAACACAUUGAUAAAUUUGUUCUACUGUAAAUCCUCCUGUUAUUCUAAAGCAAAUCCGCACAUUGCUUGUGCUUGUUGUUCAAUGUCUUCUGGAAUGUCCAAAUUAAACACACACACACAGACCUACCUUUUUUUUAUUUAAGGUUUUGGGUAAACAGUAUAUUAAUUUCAAUUUAUUGCAUAAGAAUUAUACAUGCUUAUAAUCUGUUUCUGGAUAAUCCCUCUGAAACAGUAGUUUUUUCUUAGAAUUAAUGGUUCAGCGACCAGGAUGAUUUCUGAAACUGAAACAUGGAAGAAGGUUUACAUUACCGCUGUCACAAAAUAUAAUGAAGCCCCUCUCAUAUUUGUCUUGAGAAUUAUUAAAGCGUAGCCUGCAAAGUGGCCAGUGUGGAAAUGCAAUUCUGGUGAGAAUCGUCAAAGGAUGCAAUGAGCGAGUAUGAAAAUGCAGCAGUGGAUCUAAUUAGCAAAACUAAAAUUGCAAUCCAAUCCCCAAAUAAUUGUCAUUAGAAAUAAAAUCGCAUUUCAGGCAUUUUUUUUUGCAAUCAUGAUUAGUACAGUGGGGGGGGGGGAAGAGAUUUGCUCUUGUUGUUCCUUUAAUUGCAAUCAUUUAACCCCAGUCAGUAGGAUGUGCCAGUUUAGCAAACCAUUCUGCCACAGGGGGAGAAAAAACUUCCAUUCAGUUCCAGGGUGUCUUGGACAUUGGGGUCAGACCUACUUGUCCCCCAGAAUUUCCCUCACCAAGACUUUUGCUUUUCCCUCUGCCUUAAAUAUAAUAGCCCAAUUAAUUUUAAUAUUUGCCAGCCUGUGCAUCUAAGUCUAUCAGAGGAGAUGUCAUAGAAUGAAAAUACUAAUGGGAUAUGUGCCAAUUUGCAGUUGAAGUAAGGCUGCUUCUAAUAUAAGCUGGAGAGCUUUUGUAUUAACCUCUAACAAUGGAGGAAAAUCAACCCGUUGCAGCUGAUUACUUAAGCUACCUCCAGUUACAUUUGCACAACAAAUUUGAAUUCCAAUCAUUUUGCAUACUAUUUCCACCUAUGUAAUUGUCUGCUGGCCCUUAUUAUUUAUUAUGCAAAAGUGAAGGUGCCGGCUUCCCUCCCUCCCUCCCUCCCUCUUUUUGAAGCGUGAAGAAUGAAAUGAUUUUGUAUGCAAACAGUUAAAAUUCUCCUGUGUAUUCCCCAUUCUGUAUGUGUUGAUAAAUUCACUUACGAUGAGUGACAGUCUGAGGGUUUUGGGGGUCAGAUCGGUCACUCUUUCCAUGACACUGAUGAAAAUGAUAAACUAAAUGCCAGAAGUGUCCCUGGUGCAUCAUACGAUGAAAUGUGCAAAAUGUCAGUGUCUAGCCAGUGUCUAUUAAUAACUAAAUAUGAUUGCAUGUAAUGAGCAGAUAUUUUCAUGUUGAUUGAAGUAUGAUUUCUUUUGAUCUUCCAGAUGUUGCUGCUUAGAAAUUCAUACUGCUCUUUGGCUGCUAAAUACAUAAUGACCUUUUAAAACCUUUUAAACUCUUCCUUUUUCAAAAUCCCUAUUAUUUUCCAUGUGGAAGUCAACCUGGUGAGCUUUUCCCCCCAUGUAGGUUUGAAGUUUAGCCUUUCUUCAUUCCAUCCUUCUCCUUUUAUUGUCUACUGAUCAUCAUUAUUCUUUGUGUCCUUUUCUCUUUCUUUAUCAACACUGCCCUGGAACUAUUGCAGGGGAAAUGGACGAUGGAGGCAAAGAAAGCAUUGGUUAAAUUCUGUGUGUUUUGAUACCUGAUUUAUUAGGUGUUGCGUUUGGAACCUCCCCAAGAUCCAUCAAACUGUAGCCCUGAGGAAAGGCCUUCCGAUGUCUCUAUCCCAGCCUCCAGAACUAAGGUUCAUUGGAUCCUCAAGUGAAAACCAUAGCAGACCUUAUCAGCCUAGUACAAUUUUAUAAAGGCCGCCUCCUAUUUCUUCAAAUGAGCAUCCAUUCUCGAGACAUAGGAAUCCAAAUGGGCUGCUUGGUGCCUUCUCAGCCAUGGGCUCCAUGUCUGCCUCCAGUGCUGGAUUUACAUAUAAGCUAAACAAGCUAUAGCUUAGGGCCCCACUCUCUUGGGGGCCCCCAAAAAAAUUAAAGGGAAAAAACCACUGGAUGUACAUUUCCAAAAUAUAAGAUAAAAAACAAACAAAAUAAAACCUACUUACAACAACAGUGUUUUGUGUAGGUUCCUAUGAUGUAAGUAAUGGGCCCCACCUGCUCCCUAAAAUAUCACUGGUUUGCUCAUUUCUAUGUAUAGGGUGCCUACAUUCUGCAUGGACUGGUUGCAAGGCAACAUGUGCAAAUGGCUUUAGAUACCUUUUUUUUAAAAAAAACUUUAGAUACCUAUUAGGUCCAUAAAUUACCAUAUAGCAUAUAUUCAACACAUAAAACAGUGACAAUUUGUUGUUGACAAAGGACAACUGGACAUAUAAAGGGCCCCAUUACCUUCAGUAGCUUAGGGCCUCAUCCGGCCCUGUCUGCCUCCAUUCCUUUGCUCACCUUAUAUGCCAUCCUUUGCCAGCCAGGUGCCUGCAUGAUCUUGUGGAACAAAUCUGCCAACAGACCCAGCAGGCAAGGAUGUGCUGGCAGGGGGUUGAUGGGAGUUCUGUUCCAAAGCAUUUGGAGGACACCAGGUUGGCACAGACUCCUUAUGACGCCAUCUUUGCACAAGAAAGAAGGUAUCAGCCCGUUCAGAGGAAACUCAUGGUUAGUAGAAGUACAAAAGAAAUCUCUGGGGGAGGGGGAAGGGGAGAACUCAAAACAGCUCAAUUGAAGGCUGAGCAUGGUCAGUGGAUUGCAGAGUGACUCUUGGUGGGGAGGCGGAGUUAGAAUGGAUGGGAAUGGAACGGAAUAUAUUGGAAAAGGUCAUGGCUGGCUGGAAUCCUGAGCAGGAGAGCUUGACACUGCAAUAUCUUGUUGCAGGUCCCUUCCGUCAAUCUUGCCAUUGUUAUCAUAUUACUUUAUAGCCUGCCUUUUUCCCCUGACAGGGACACAAGGCGGCUUACAGAUAAAAGAGAAACAACUAAAAACAUAGAUGGGAUCAUAAAAAAUAAAUAAAUUAUUGAAUUUGUUAGCCGCCUUGACUUUCAACAGACAGGCAAAAAACCAUUUUAUUCUGUUAAACAUUUGCACACACAUGCACACACCCACCCCUCCCUACAUAACUGCAAUUGCAUCAGCAACUAUUGCUGUUUAUAUAGGUGUCCCCUAAAGAACGAUUAUAAAUAUUUAUAAUUUAAAAUAUAAUUAUAAAUAUUAUAAUUAUAAAUAUUAAAGUUGUGAUGUUUUAUUGAUCAAUCUUUAGAUGUGUUGAAAUUGCACAAUAAGAUAGUGUAUGUACACACACACACACACACACACACACACACACACACAGAGACGACCCAUUUGGAGUCAGGCAUAAUGUUAUAAUUUCUCUUGUUAAAUCCCUGGCAGACAGGAAGCAUUCAGUGAUGUGAUCCCACACCUGCAGUAAAUAAAUAUAAGCCACAGGUUUCCUUGGUUCAUUGGCCACCCUCUCCAUUUGUAUAACAGCCCUGCCUUCUAUGACUUGAGACACACCUGCAAUUGCAUCAACAAUUAUUGCUCUUUAUUUGCCCCUUUUCAUUGGCAUGUAAAAUAAAAACUGAACAAUGCAAUCGGAAUAAAUCGAUAUAACACCAUCCUUAUCAUUAUAGCAAUGGUAAAAAUUGUAAUGAUGAGUCAGGGUCAUCUGAUUUUGAUAGUUAUUUUAGGUGCCCCCUUCUGCUGCUGUUCUAUGGUCAGAGCAAUGCCAAAGAGAGGGGUUGGUCUUUGCCCCCCCCCAUCAUCUUCUGGUGUUUUAUUAUUACUGGUGCAGUCAGAGGUGUGUGUCUGUCUACAUGGCAAGACUGGAAGUCACCUUCACACACAGAAGAAAAUAGCAAUUUCUGCACAUUCUAAUUUUCUCUGAUACCUUGUCCUUUCUCUAGUCUAUGUACUCGAUUCUUUUGGUAUACUGAACGCAUAUAGAUUAUUACAGCCAAGAUCUGUAGCCAUUUCUACCCGCUUCUCAAGCUCUCACGUUAUUUAAGAGAAUAGUUUGCUUGUAAGACCAUAGCAAUUGUAAAAUCAUAUAAAUUGCAAUGCACAGAUAUCUCCCCGUGCAGAAUUUCAUAUCAUGUCAGCCCCCCUGCCCCCCUGCACACAAUUAGUUGUCCCCCCCCCAAAAAAAUUAAAAAUUCCCACCUUUCCUCAUUCUUAUGGGAUUUGGGGAGUUUCUGUUCUCUGUACCUUUUACAGCACUGAGAAAAGGUAAAGGACCCAUGACAGUUAAGUCCAGUUGCAAACGACUCUGGGGUUGUGGCGCUCAUCUUGCUUUACAGGCCGAGGGAGCUGGUGUUUGCCCACAGACAGUUUUUCCGGGUCAUGUGGCCAUCAUGACUAAGCCGCUUUCUGGCGAACCAGAGCAGUGCACGGAAACGCCGUUUACCUUCCCGCUGGAAUGGUACCUAUUUAGCUACUUGCACUUUGAUGUGCUUUCGAACUGCUAGGUUGGCAGGAGCAGGGACCGAGCAAUGGGAGCUCACCCCGUCACGGGGAUUUGAACCGCCGACCUUCUGAUCGGCCAGCCCAAGAGGCACCACCCACGCUACAACAUCCUUUUUGAGGUGUAGUGAAAUAUUUCCAGUGAUUUCCAGUGAAAUAUAAUAAUAGAAUCAUAGAGUUGGAAGGACACGAUAUUACGAAAAUCUUGUGAGAUUGGGCAAUAUCUUGUUCUCUUUCAGAAGCCAGUGCCACUUCAUCAGUGGCAGAGGUGGCAUGGCGGGAUGCCAGGGUGGCAUUUCAAGUGGCGAAAAGGGGUACAUCGCAUGGGUGUAAUGACCAGAACUGUGUGGGAUAUAUCCAACCUCACAUAACCAAGAUGCUUAACUCUAAUCAAUGCAUAAAGGUGUUCAGACCACAGAUUAAGAUGCCAGGCUUAGCUAGGUCACAUCCCCUUACCUUGGGAGGAGGGGUUACCAAACUCUUAGUUCUCUCUGUUUCCACCAUGUGAAUCUAAGCUGGAUGCUCCAAGCUUAGACCACAUGGCUUUAGCAAGCCAUCUUUGUGUUUCUAUACAAAUCGUUUAGAAAGAUUUGCCACUUUUUGGAACCUAAGUUAUACUGCCUUGUGUGUUCUUGGUGCUGUAUGGGAAAGCGCAUGAACCUGACAUUUGAAGAAUUUGUAGGUAAACCAUUUUUAACUUACCAAACAAGUCUUUUCUAUUCAAAGGGGAGUGGGGAACUUUGGAGGAAACUUAGAAGGGGACAUUUUAAAGGUAUAUUUCCAUGCUGCAUGUUUUGUGAUUUUAAAUCUCUGCUGGGGCUCUCUCUCACCAAAGAGUACUUGCCCCAAACCUGGAUCUAGCCAUCCAGGGAAUUCUCCAUUCUAUUUUACCAAAUACCAAAAACCAAAAGUACCCCAAACCAAUAAACAGCACACAGUAUUUCAAGUAUGUGCUGCCUACUAUUCAUGGAUCAUGACCCAAACAGUUAACGACAUGCAGUAUGACUUGAUCCAUUCUUACAGCAAAAAUCAAUAAAUAAUGUGAACUAAGAUUUAUUAAAAACAUUUAGGGAGAGGGAAAGUUGUGUUUUCCCAUUAGUAAGGGGAGGACAGACAAAUAUUGUUUCUAUUACAUUCUAAUGAGGUUUAUUUCCCUGCCUUCUGCCAAUAUGGCUGUGGGGAAAUUUAAUAAUUGUUAGAGAGUUACAGGAAACAAUCCAUGCUUAAUUUGUUUCCACAAAUGAAAUCCUUGCGGUCACAAUUAUGUGUUGGACAAUAUUGUGUUUUCCUUUCUUCUCUUCGCGUUCUGUUUCUUGCCCAUAAAUGCAAGGUAUAUUUAGAUCUGAGGGCUAGCGAAAAAAUUGGAAUCAAUCUUUUUAAAGGGCACAACUUACCUUUCUUUCUUUCUUUCUUUCUUUCUUUCUUUCUUUCUUUCUUUCUUUCUUUCUUUUUAGUUCUGUGGCUCUCCUAUUGAAUCAAGAUUGAUUUUAAGAACAAAACCUUCAGAGGAAGUUUUAAAAUACAUAUUUUUCAUUUGACAAAAAGGAGCAAAGCAGUUCAGGUUGUGAGUAUGUGCAAACCUUAGUUCGAUCACCCUUGGUGCGUCUCCCCUGGGUGAUGCUGAUGGUUCAGUAGAUAGUACUACUUGCUGUUGAGAGAGUGCUAAAUGUAGGGUUCAGAAACUGGGAGAGAAGUCUAUUAGUGUUAUAAGUGUUCCUACAAUAGUACUACGCUGUGCUUUGCUGCCUAUGUUACACAGAGCUCCAGCUUGGAGAAGUUGGGCUUCAACACUCCUAACGCAGGAACAUAGGAAGCUGUUAUGAGGGCCCUCACAGGGUCAUUGAGGAGUCCUGCCUCCUUCCCAAAGCCUAGUGAGCACAUUCCCAACUUUGAGAAGGAGGUGGGAGGGCUCUGGAACCCUGCCAGGGCCUUGUGCCUCCUCCUCAAAGCUCAUAGCGUCACUUAGCCUGCUUUGGGAAGGCAGCGCGAAGGCUGGUAGUGUGUGUGUGUGUGUGUGUGUCAAAUUUUGGCCUCUGAAAUAUACUCGGAGUCGAGAGUGGAUUUCAUGCUCUUUAUUCAGCUCAUAGUGGUGAGGAGGAAUGGAAGUUCCCUCAGAAUGUCUGCUUCAUAUACAUUAUUUACACAAUGGGCCCCACGUGAUUGGCUAAUUCCGGGAUUCACCUGUAGGCCAAUCAGGUUGCGGAUUCACUUCCACCUGGAGCUGGAUUGGGUGGCUCCUGUGGACCAAUCAGACUGUUGCAUUCUGGACCCUAUUGUUCUAAGACUAAUCAGACUGCUGCCUUUUGGAUCCUAUUCAACUCAAUACAUAACAGCCUCGCUGCUCACCCCCUGUGCAACAAGGCUGUGUGCGGCCCAUACUUUCAAUGUUGAAGUACUCUUGCAGCCUGCUUGGGAUGAAAAGUUGGACCGCCCUGGUCUACGCUGACUGACAGAGACUCUCCAAUGUGUUAGGCAGGAGUCUUCCUCAGCCCUUCCUCAGCAAAGGUUUCCUGCCCGUGGUUUAAGAGAUAAACCGAAGGUCUAAUGGAUUUGGUCUGAAUUACACUUGAAUGUAUUUCGAACACAAACCAGGAUGUGAUUCAUACACGUGGGCACCCUUCAGAACACAUAUACAUUAUGUGCUUGGAUAUCUGAAGUACAAAAUGUCAUCUAAAGAACAUCACCGCCGAGUCUUAAUUAAUGAGCACCAUUAAUACAUUUCAAGAAUUCACCCAGAUAUAACACAAACGCCAAUUUUAAGAGCACCAACCGGACCCAGGGGAGAGGGGUGGGGAAUGUUCACAACGCGUUUUCUCCAGCCCUUCCUUUUUCCCAGUUCCAUGUUCUGCAUGACAAAACUUGGGCCACGGGGGAAUCUGAAAGGCUCUUAAUUAGGCAGAAUUCACAAGGCUAGCAGAAAAAGUGUGGGUGAAGGUUAGACAUGAAGAUGAGGAUCUUGUUUUGAAUGAGUCCAAGAUUUGGGGGCGGGGGGGGGGGCGGGGCGGGAAGUGAACAAAGCAGGAGAAGGCAAAAUGGAGACUGGCUCAUUUACUUGACUAGGUGCAAGUCCCCUAGGGCAGAUAUACCCACUCCAGGACAGAAUGCAUCAUUAGAAAUUGUCUGUUCCAAUUGUACUGUUUGCCAUAUUUUUUAUAUAAUACUAGGUAUCAGUCUGCAGUGAGCUUUUUGCUUUGGACCGAAAUCAGUUUCUCAAUAAGCAUUUUUCAGAGGCAAAAGAUAUGCAACAGAUCUAGAUUACGUGUGGACUACGUGGAGAAAACAAGUGCCUGGUCUACAGGGAUUGUAGAAUAGGAUGGGUAUUCGCAGCCUUGGUUUCAACUGGCCUUCUGCUUUGCUCUUGAUUGUGGAAGAACUGGGUGGGCAGAUUAUGAGACUGAAGCACACAUUUAGCUUCAGUUCAGUUCAGUUCAGUUCAAGCACAAGUUCAGGAUAGCUAGCUAUGCUGAUCACAGCAAAAGCGCCAAAGGAUAGAAUAAAGGGAGUUAAAACAAGUACUGGCUCAGUGUUUUCUCUCUCCUGAUCAGAAGUAGCAGCUUUAGUAUAGAGCAACUGUGAUGGAACUCUCUGUUUGGGUUUUUUCUUUUCCCUUUUCCCCUUUUUUGCAGGUGAAAGUUAGGCUCUGAUCAUGAUGCACAUCAGUGCUUAAGAGAGCACAGAGGCCUUUGCUAUUAUAGGAUGGAAUGCUGUUAGAUAAUUUGCUGUCCCUGUACUGUGGUCUCAGGUGGCUGAGCAGUUGCAGAGUACAUGCGGAAAGGCUUCUAUGAAACAUAAAAGAUGCAUGCUGAAUACGAGCACUGUGCCUUCUACUUAGGUCACAAAUUUAGCAUUCUCCCACAGCUUUGCCUGUUUGGUUUUGGGAGGCGGGGUUCUGUACGACCAUUGUGCCAUGGAAAAUGCACAUGGCUCAUAUUUUGCACGGACAAUGAACACAAAGACACACACCAGUGCUACUUUUUACUAAAAUCCUGGGGGUAGGGAGUCCAGGUUUUAACUUCACCUACAGCUUGGACAUGGGAAACAUUGAGCAUGUGCAGAAUGCAUGGCUAUAUAAACCCUAUUCAGACAUUCUUAUCCCUCUUGCAGUGAGGGAGUGCACUGCUGUCCCCAUCACCCCCCGCCAUGAGUUGGAGGGAUGGUUUUAGAAAUGGGGAGCCUGCUUGACUUGUGUCAACUCCCAACCUGAUCUAGAACCCUCACAUUCCAGGGUUCUAAACUGCACAUAGAACCAACUUGAGUUCCUGCUGCAGACAUUUGGCUAAGAUGGUGAGAGAAGAGCUGGCAUGCUCUUGCAAGCAGAGUUCGUGGGUUGUAUCAAAUGGAAGAAGAAGAAGAAGAAGAGGCGGAGUUUGGACUUGAUACCCCACCUUUCACUCCCCUUAAGGAGUCUCAAAGCGGCUAACAAUCUCCUUUCCCUUCCUCCCCCACAACAAACACUCUGUGAGGUGAGUGGGGCUGAGAGACUUCAGAGAAGUGUGACUAGCCCAAGGUCACCCAGCAGCUGCAUGUGGAGGAGCAGGGAAGCAAACCCGGUUCACUAGGUUACAAGUCCACCACUCUUAACCACUACACCAUGCUGGCUCCCUAGUCCUUCUUGAGUAGACCCAUCAAAAUUAAUUAGGCCUAUUAAUUUCAGCGGAACUUGAUUGGAUACAACUAUGUGUUUCUCAUACACAGCUGCAGAGUUCCAUGGAAUCUUUAUAUGAUCCCACCCAAAUUCUGUAGCAACAGCUGUUGAUUGCUUUUCUCGGAACAGUAUUCCCAUGGAACUGCUGCAGACAUCACAGAUGAAGCACGAGUAACUCACGAGUCUGAGGCUUUCUGUAGAACUAAUAUAUCAGCCCCAUUGACAUGAAUGUAUAUUGUAUUUUACAAAGCAACACACAAAAAUAGGGCAUGAUCUACUUAAUCUCUGGAUGCAUGUGGAUCUCGUGGAUCUCACCACGGAGCAAAAGUUUUUUGCCUUCUCUUUUGCUACUUGUUUGCAGCAUCCAACAUGGCUGUCAUUGUACUGUAUCCAACAGGCCUUCAGUAAAAAUUAGAAACUGAAAGCAGCCCCUUUAUUGAGCUCUGUCUAGAGCAUUUUGCUGUAUGUUAUUGUGCACAGUGCCUCCAACUGUACAUCCGAGGUUGCAAAAUGAAAUGUGAGAGAAUAUUAACACCAGUGCAAUGAGGUAUUAACCUAAAGCUCAGUCCUACAUUUGUGGUUAUUUGUGUAAGCAGAAGGGGUGGGGGCACUUUUUAAACCCCUAUGGAUACUGUAAUUUUGAUGCCAGAGAAUUACAGCACAGACAUAAUAACAAGAGGCAGGAGAAGGGAGCUCCGGGUUAGGAUGGAGGAGAAAUUUGAUUCAGUUCAUGUUUAUAGGAGAAUCUACCUAAUUCACACUUUCUGAAACCACAUGCAAACCAAGGUUUCUUGAAAUAAACAAUUACCUGAUUUUUGCAGUGUAGUUCUCCCCGCCGCAAAGUAACAGGUACAAAAACAGGUACUAGUAAAAUGUAUGUAACGUGUGUAAAAAUUACACACUCCCCCCCCCUAUACAGUAUUAGGGGAAAUUGCUUUGCAAAAGUGUGUAUGCAAGGGGAAAUUUCAUUCAAACACAUGUAUUAAGCAGAAAUUUGCACUUAAAUGCUACUGUAUUUUCACGGGAUACUCUUAAAAAAGAAAAGAAAACGGCAACCAUACCACAAAUCAAUUUGGAACUGUGCAGAACUGAACUAAGUGUGGAAAAAUGAGAAACUCACAGAUUUGCCCAUUCCUAGCUGUGGGGAAAAGGACAGUUGUACCACUGAGAGGGGAAAGUUGUGUCUGCACUGAGGAUGGUUUAAUUCCCUUGGCAUUGGCUUGGCAAAAACUGUUGUUAAAAUGGGAUUGUAGUUGUAAUAUAGAUGCUACCAUAAUUAUGUAACUGAAUAACAAGCUGGCAAUAUGCCAAAACAGAAAAAGGAGAACAGAGGUAUCCUGGGUUUGAAAACCAGUACCUCACCUUGCUCCCUUCUCUACCACCCCAUGUUUUCCAUUUGUUGUUUCACAGAUGCUUCAGUACGUAUUUAAAUCAGAGCAGCUGAUGUUGAGCCUCUUUGUGUAUGCUCAGGGAUAGGGCUUGGUGUGGCUGGUAAAGAGGGGGUGGAGAGGGGAAUCUCCUUAGCAUACGGCUUAUUAGUAUCAUCAAUCAUCAGGGGUGUCAUUUCUAAAUUCCCUCUCCCUCACCUAAUUUGCUAAACUUAAUUCUUUAUCACACCACAAAAGCCAGCAUGAGAGAUGGAAGUGAUAAUGAGAGGUGGCUUGCUCAUCCAUGCCCUAAUGCAAGGCAACUUUGCAAGAGUGGAGGGCGGAGGCAGAUUUUGGGGUUUUUUCUGCUUAGUCACGUCUCUUAGGGAAGAUUGCAGAGUCGUGUCUCGCUGAAAUCGCCAGCUUAAAUCAUCUUCUGCUCGGGUUGCUUUCCCAGGCAAGUCUGAUCUGGUGCGAGAGGGAAACCUAUAUGACACUACUGUGGGUUGCUGUCGACACCACUUCCAAUGAUUUCCACGUGGUCAGAAGAGGGUGAAAAAAGAUGAACAUUUGGUUCUGCUUGUCUAGGACUGGGGGAUUUUCAUGGGUAGCUGAAGAACGUACCUUAUACUGAGCCCAAACAUUGGUCCACCGAGGUCAGCAUUACUUACACUGAUUACCUACAUACCUCUCCCGAUAUGCCCCACGGAGAGCCUCAAGGUCCAUAUAUAGCAACACCCUAGUGGUCCCGGGCCCUAAGGAAGUUAGAUUAGCUUCAACCACAGCCAGGGCCUUUUCAACUCUGGCUCCAGCCUGGUGGAACGCUCUGCCUCAUGAGACCAGGGCCCUGCAGGAUCUGAUUUCUUUCUGCAGGGCCUGUAAGACAGAAUUGAUCUGCCUGGCCUUUGCUUUGGAGCCAAUUUGAUUCCCUCCCCCUCUUUCUUUUUCCUUUCUCCUCCUGUGAUGAGGCUGCAUUUUAAUAUUUUAAUGUUUCAAUAUUUUAACUGUUGUAUUUUAAUCUUGUUUUUAAGUUGUAUUCAUUCAACUUGUUUUUAUUAUUGCUUGUUAGCCGCCCUGAGCUCGGCCUUGGCUGGGGAGGGCGGGGUAUAAAUAAAAAUUAUUAUUAUUAUUAUUAUUGGCAGUGGCUGUCUAGAAUUCUGGGUUUAGGACAUUGCUAGCUGUACCUGGAGAUGCCAGGAAUUGAGGCUGGGACCUUAUGCCCUACCAGUGAGCUAUGGCCCUUCCCCAGUUAUCAUUACAGCUCAUAAAGUGAUGUUUAUGGCAAUCUCUUCUGGCAGUCUGAACUACAGUUCUCUGGCGUGGACUGUAGGACCUGCAGACAAUUUCAGUGGAUGGCUAACGGUCAAAAUCUCAACAGAGAAGCAGCUUCUGUGAAGACCUGCAGUUUCUGCAUUAGGCUGGAUAAAGAACCUACAAGGAUGAAACAAACAAGACUUCCACGCAUUGUUUUCUUAUUUUCCUUUCUUCUCCUGAGAUUGUGGUGUGUGUGUGUGUGUGUGUGUGUGUGUUGGGAUUAUGAGCCCUUGAGUGUUGUUCAAUACAAUCUCCAUGGAUCUCAGAGUUUUUAUGGGAUUUUGAAUGUCUUAUGUAGAUUUUUCAGUUUCAUUGUUCUGUAUGGGACAAUGACAAUAAAGAUAUCGAAUCGAAUCUCAGAGAAGCCUUGCUGAUGUAUUGGAAGUAUCUGGGCAGUGAGAGUCCUUCCUUGGUGCUAGAGGCGGGUGUAGUUUCUGCAUUCAGCUUGCAGAAGUCACGAAAGGCGUCGUCCUAGUCGAUGCAGACUGUGAUUACUUGGCCUCUGUCAAAGUAAUUAUGGCUCUUCCUGCGCCUUCCAGAGAGUGGAGCUGGUGGUUCUAAGUGGCUUGGCGGUUAUGGCUAAAGGUUGCACAGGAGAGCUUUUAGCAUGUAGCUCCUUGGCUGACAGGAGCCUCCCUCGCUGGGCUUGACAAAGGCAGGUAGAAAGCCCUGGCAAGAAAACAGAAACAAACUGAAUGAGUAAUAAAUCAGGUCCAGAGCCCAGCGGGGGAUGACCUUUGCAGUCUUGUGUGUUAGAGCAACCUGCCUCGGCGAUCCUCCUUUGGCAAGAGGGAUCUGUAUCCAACCGUCGACGUUUUUAACGCCAACACGCAGCACUGGUGAAGGCACUAUUUAUAGGGAUGGCUUCCUGCAGGGGGGCAAGGGGGGGGGGAACGGAUGCACAGGGACCGGAAUACAAAGGAGCUGCUAAUUAAAGAGCACUGUUGCUAGACACUCGUCAUACGUAUUAGUAAAAAAUAACCAGGGAGAAUGAAGGGUUUCAUUCUAAUCAAGCCGUAGCAGACAUUAAAAGGGAAGAGUUUGAAAGGAACACUUUAUAAAAACAAAUAUAUUGCUUGCAGUCCCUUGCUUUCAUUUGUGCCUCUGGGAACUUUUGCAUUAUUUACAGUGGAUCACUCAAGCGUUAGCUGCUAAGGUUGCAAUCCUAAACCCACUGAGGUUAAGCCCCACUGAAUUCAGUAGGACUUGCAUCUGAGAAGACGUGGCUAGGAUCGCACUGUUAGCCUAUCCCUGGCCAAGGUGUGGAGAAGUUGUUGGGCCCUUCUCAUCAGCCCCAGCCAAGGUGGCCUGAGGUGAGGGAUAAUGGAAGCUGUGGUCCAGGAAUACCUUGGGGGGGCACAGCUUCUCCAUCCCUGCCAUGGUUUAAGAGUUUAUGGGACAUAUGGUGGGUUUCCAGAGCCUUCAUUGUUUAAUUCAUGAAUAUGAAUUACAGGUGUCCUUCCUCCCCCUUAUGCAGCGGGGGUUACAAUUCCUGGACCACAGCUUGCAAUAUAAUGCAACCAUCAGAUGUGAUGUGGUUAUCAUUUCAAUAAUUAGAAUGUACAAAAUGCAUAAAAUAUAACCAAAAUGCAUUCAAAACGCAGCCCCAAAGACUGCAAAAUACAAUGAAAAUGUGAAUAUUUGGUUUCAUUUCGUAGUUAAUUUUUUGUUCAUUUAAACCCUCCACUGUUUGAUGCAGAAUCAAGAUGGAACGGAUUAUUGACAGGGAAAUAUGAGACACAAAAUGAAACAGAAAUAGACCAGUCUGUCCACUCUUAGGUGCGUGCACUUCUGAUAGACUCCUUCUGCAUCUCUCUUUGCAUGGAGCUGUAUGUGUCUGCUUCUUGUUUUGCCCACAUCCAUGCCCAAAGCUGCCAUGAGUAGCUCAGGGGGCUCAAAAUAAUGCGUCCAUCAGGGAUAGAUUGACCCUUCACUAACCCUCUGCUGCUGCUGGCUCCACUUUCUGGCGUGCGCAUAAAGCACCUCAGAACCUUUUUCUCUCGGCUAGGAAAACGCUGGACAGACUGCAGGGAACUUUCUCUGUGCUGUUGCCUUCAAUAAACACUAAGACCAUACGGUUCCAGAGAGAGAUAAAUAGUUCUGUAACCAUAUUGCUUUGUGCCGCCACCAGUCUCCUUUGUUGCGGAACUCCCAAAUAAUCUAUCACAGCAUCUUGGGGCUACAUAAAAUGCAGCUCAAAAACCCAAUGGGAUACAUGGUUAUGUCCAGAUGUUGAUGUGUGGAGUGCUCCUGUUCAGGGGGUCAGCCAGCCAGCCAGUUGAGCAUGCCCCUUUGUAGCAUACUCCAUUCCAUUCCUGCUUCCCCAUUUUUCUGAUCCCCUCCCAUUUCAUCAUUCCAUGUCCAUUAAGCAUGCUUAGCAUGGAUUGUUGGGGGGUUUUCCCCUUUCCUUAGGAUAGUUUUUUCCCCCCUAACAUUUUGCGGGAGGCUUCUGCAAACCUUGCCCCCCCCCCACAACCAUGUGCCCUUUAAUGUAUUUUUUUGUGGCAGGAGGAUAUUUAUUUAUUUGAGGCAGUACCAGCCUACUUUUCAUUCUAUUUGAUUUCAGAACAGGGUACAAUAUAAAAGAAAACACAAUGCAUACAACAUAAUAAAGACACAUGGCAUGCAAAACUAAUGUACCCUUAAAGCAGUGUUUCCCAAACUUGGAUCUCCAGCAGUUUUUGAACUGUAGUUCCCAUCAUCCCUGACCACUAGUCCUGCUAGCUAGGGAGUGAUGGGAGUUGUAGUCCAAAAAUAGCUGGAGACUCAAGUUUGGGAAACACUGCCUUAAAGCAGUAACACUAGGAAGAGCAUAAAUGCCUGGAAGAUGAGUUCACUACUAGUACAGAAGAUACGCUCAGGAAACCGUGGUUUGCAUAGCCUUGGUGGUGGCAUGCCUUUGUGGGCAGCCUUCUGGGGGCUUCAUGCCAGCAGUGGGCAAGGCUAGAGGCAAAAAGUUGGGCAAGGUCAGAAGCAAAAGUGGGCAGAGCAACAGAUGUGGCUCUUCCCUUUGGACAGGGGGCUAUACUCCAGCUGUGGCCAAAGUCAGAGGUUUCUAUCUAUAUCCAUAUUUCCAUCCUCCACCCAGGCAAGCAAAGGCACCACCAGUUUUUAAGAAUACAGUGGCACCUCGGGUUACAGACGCUUCAGGUUACAGACUCGGCUAACCCAGAAAUAGUACCUCAGGUUAAGAACUUUGCUUCAGGAUAAGAACAGAAAUCGUGCGGCGGCAGCGGGAGGCCCCAUUAGCUAAAGUGGUGUCUCGGGUUAAGAACAGUUCCAGGUUGAGAAUGGACCUCCAGAACAAAUUAAGUUCUUAACCCGAGGUACCACUGUAAAUUCUAGCCAGGCAAAAGCAUCUGAGCAGCAUGUGGAGCAGGACCAAUGAGAGGUGUGUACUGGAGACUGUGGGCGUGUGGCGAGUUCCAAGGGCCAGGUAGAGAGGUUGGAGGGUCGCAUUUUGGCUGAACCUGAGGCUUUCCUCCCCUGCACUAAAGCCAUCCUAGUUAAAGAGAGCCAUUAGAAUUUCUGCUAAGUCUGCUAUAUUUCCUUGAUAUUUUUGUAGGGUGAAGCAUCUGUACUACAGAAUACACACCCACCCACCUCUGCAUUUGUGUCAGUGCUAGUAAACUUAAACUGUAGAUGCAGCAGACUAUUAACAGUAGGUGGUGUAUCAUUAUGGCACUUAGUUGUGGCUCUCAAAAAUCUUGUCGCUUGCAACUUUGACAGAGCUCCCAGCUGCGCAUGAGGCUUAAGACACCGGCAAUUUUCACCUUGAAUAAAAGUUUAGUGGCACUCAUUGUUUUUAAUUUGCAGCUUUUAAGACUUGAAGUCUUCAUUUUAUGGAUUCCCUCCCCUUCUCUUCCCUCUGAGAAACUCAUUUGCUUUGCUGUGUGUAACCAUUGAUUCCUUGUAUUAAGGGAUUGAUAAAACAGAUUAGCCGCAAUAGAAUGUUAAUCAAGGCCAUGUUUCAAAGUUACUACUUCCCAAAUUUAUUCUUCCUCCCCUUGCCCCCUCCUUCUGCAGAACGCUCAGCGGCUCUUGGUUGAUCAACUGGUAGUAGCCGAGAAAACCAGGCACCCUGAAAAGAUUAAUGGGCAAGACAGUAAAGUAAGACAGAGUAAUGGGACAAUGCAAUUAUAUUUGCUGUGUUGUGUUCUUGAUAGUUGUGCUUAACUGAGGGGUGCCUGGGAGCAAGAAUGUCCAAUUAGAUUUACAAGCUCUAGAGAUGGCCAUUUUAUUGCUAGAUUCAUUGUUGCCUGAGCCACUAACAUACUGUUGGGUGAGUUGAAAGUGUGUACAACACCUUGAAGCUGUAAGGAGAAACUGGUUUAUAAUAAUCAAUUUGCAGGGAUGUGGAUGUGGGAGAAGUAUCUUUUACCAUGGGGGUCAGCAACUGACGAUCACUUGGUGAAAUCUGGCUCAAGACCAGGGGUGGCCGGAGGGAGCUGGUGACCCUGGCCAUGAAUUGUGACUGAGACCAUGAGAUAAAGCGGCGGGACACAGGCGAAGUUUGGGUAAAACAUGGGACCGUGCUUAUUUAAAUGUAUGCAAAUGAUCUGCUGUGGGACUGCUCAGGAACUUGGCUGUUAACCAGUCAGGUGAGGUGGAAUGAAAUAGUGGCCCUAGAGGCUAAAGAUGAUUGGUAGGAGAAUGGGGGGUGGGUGGGCUACCUGCUAAACCCGUUGCCAUGGAGGCGAAGGCAGUAUGGAAUGGACCAGCUUUUGUAAAUUUUGCUCCGUUUCCAGUUUUUUCCAAUCUUAAGCUCAGUUCACAUCAACACAUUGCCACAUCCGUUUGCGAUCACGAGAAUUCAUCAGUAGUUUAGCUUGAAUUUCUCCUAAAAAACUCAUUUUUGAAUGCGUUUUUGCCUAAUAUGCACAUUUCUGCCAAGCAAUUUUGCCAGAUAGAACACAUUUUUGUGUGUUUGCCAAUAUACACACACUUUCCUCAAGUAGAUACACUUCCAUACACAUUAACUGGAUAGAAAAUCCUGCUGCAAAAUUCAGAGAACUGUGCGUAUUGCUUGGGAAAGCACAAAUUAGGUAAAUUCAUCUUUAAAUGUGAACUGAAUUGAAUUUCUCCCCCUGUCCCUAGGAGAGGGCAAGAGGUUGAUAGAGCAUGGAGCUGUAGAAAAUUCCUUCUCUUUAGUCUUAUGUGCCAGUGUGAAGCAUUAUUAGAGUAAAGAUGGUUUGCCUACCCCCCAUGCAGAAGGAACUGCUUCUCUCAGACCCUGCAUUCAAGUGGGGAAUUUGGGAGAGAUUCAAAAUACAGGUGCAUUUUUAUUCUCCCUCUCUUGUGAUACUUAUAUACUCCCCCAUGUCAAAAAGCAGACCAUAAUGCACUAGCCCUGCCAAAUAUGGACCAAUUCAGGGAUCAUGUUGCGUUGUGCAUAAUGUCCUAUGAUCAGGUUGAAGAGAGGCAGAUUGGCAGUCACCCAAAUAUAUGCAGUCCAAAAAUAAGUAAUGCAAUGGGAAGCGAGAUUAACUAAACCACAGAUAUAGUUCCAAAGGCAUUUGGAUAAACAAGAUUGUGCUAUAAUCCACCAGGAAAAUAUGGAGUAUUUAAUGCACCAUUUUGAAGAGCGUCUCAAGAAGUGUAUGAAACUGCCGUCUCCCUGGAGGGUACAGACCAUCAGAGCAGAGGAGCUCUUGGUUUUGGGUUUUUGCUUUAUUAAAUUGCUGUCUGCGUAUUAAGCUCGUGGAAUAUAUUAGGGUGGGUGCUUUUUUUGUGGUAACUUCACACUUUAGUGACAGAUGUUGUUUCUUUCCUGAGCUCUGAGGGUGUAAUGAACCCGGCAAAGCCUUCUCGGGUGGCUUCCAGAAGUCAAAAGCUUUUGAGCUGUCAGUCUCCACCAGCUUUUCGUUAAUUCUCGUUUGACGUGGCAUCUGGGGCCAGGCUCUUGUCUUUGCAGCAGCGAGAGCUCACAGCAGGCGGGAGCAGCUUAAUCGAUCGGCAAUACUGGUCACCCAGAAAGAGUGUUAAUUGGCCUGAAUACUUCAAGCAUUCGACAUGGACUGACCUAAUCACCAGGCACAGAGGAGAUGAUGUAUUCUUGUGGGGAGGCAGAGAGGAGAGGGAGGAAUUAGCAGCCUAGGCCUCUGGACAAGUACAGCCAAGGAUGUGGUGGCCACAAUUGCCCAAGAUAUUAAGGAAAGAGGACAUCAUGGUUCCCAACUAUCUAUGCUGGGGCGGGGGCAGUUGGUCAAACAUGGCCUACUAGGCAUCUUUAUCUGGCAUUCAGGAGUUUCCCCAGGCCAUACACCCUCAACAGUGCCACUCCACACCCUCCUCAAGUGCGUUUGCCAGCCUUGCUUGUCUGGAUAUAACUCAGAGAGAAAUGGGCGCAUGGGUGUCUCUGUGUGUGCAGAAUCCUAUGACUUCUGUGUGGUUGGAAUGCAGCCUCCUGCCUAAAGGGCAAGGUUCACCGUUACAAUUUUGCCUCUGUUCUUGCCCCCUUUUGCAGACUCUUGUCUAUGUGGGCAACCACAAGUGGACGACAUCUUGCACUAUUUACUAUGUUGCCCCACUAUACAUUGGACCCGGAAGGCGAUUUCUCGCCUUGCCAUCCGUACAGGAAAGAUGUCUCUCCCCGGCAGAAAAGGUCCUAUGACUAUUUAGCCAUGUAAACACUUCAGUGAUUCAUAAAGUCUCCCAUUUUGCUUUGGCGGCCAAAAAGAUCAGAAAGAAGGCCCUGGACACAAUAUGGCAGUGAACUGUUAAGGGAGACGCAGAGAUCUAAAUAGAGACCAUUAUUUGUGGCGUUGCACCCCUUUUACUUGUAUUUAUUUUUGAUUCAGAUUUGUCAUGACCAAUGGCUAGUACAAUAAAGGUAUUUGGAUUGGGAUCGCCCCCCUUUUGCCUGUCCAGGCCAAUAAGGCGAUGCAGCCCUCAGGCUGAGAAAGGUCCCUGCCUCCCGGGCUACACCAUUGUUGGUGGGCCAGAGGUGUGGCUACCCAAGUAACAGUGGGAGUUCGUAGCUUACCUGCAUAGGAACGUGGGUUGGUGGGUCUGGCUCUGGCAAUGUGUGUGUGUGUGUGUGUGUGUGUGAAGUCUCUAAAACCGCCUGUUGGCAUGAUAGGUAUGCACUUUGGUGGUUAGAGUAGGAGAGGGAAACAAGGUCCCUCCUUUGGGGUGCUCCUUUUGGGACUGACAUUUGUGCACUUUUGGUCUUCAUCUUCAAAAUGCUGGGCAGGGCAAGUUGUUCCUCAGCACCAAAUGAACGAAGGGCUUUUAAGGAUGCAUUUUCUUCCUACUUCUCAAACUUUCUAGCUACAUUUUUUUAAAGCGUUCUGGUUCUCCUGGGAGCUCAUUGCAGUUCAGAACAGCCAGGAACCUAUUAUAUUUCACUGUAUGGUGAACUAGUUCUGUCCAAAACCUGCCUUUCCUAUACAAAAUAGAACGGUCCCUUAUGAACAGCUACUAGAUCUGUUAAGGUUCCAAUCCUAUGAGCUACUCCUGAGUAAACAUUCAUGAGAUUAUUCAGUAAGGCGUUCUUGCCACAGGUGGCGUUCGGCUGUGGCCACAGUCCAACUAGAGUUAAGCACAUUUAAGGCCAUUGAAGCGGUUGUGAAUACAGUGGUACCUCGGGUUACAUACUGUCAGGGAACUGACAUUGGAGCUAGAGGCGGAGGCAGGGCUCCCACGCGAUGCUGGAGAGGGGCCCAGCAGGGAGAGAGGCAGCUCAUCAGCUGGGGAAGGAAAUCAGCGUAACACCAGGGAGAUGGGGGAAUCGGCGAGGGGGCUCCAGGACUCCUCGCCGGAGACCAGCGGGGAGAGCACGGGUCCUCCGCUACCCACACUCUCCCUGCGCAGAAGACUUCCGCGCAGGGAGAGUAGGAAGCGACUUGGUGUCAAACAGCUUUUAUGCUGGAAAAGGUUUAAGAAACGCCCACUGACGGAUUCUGCUAGUGACUGAAACAGCCACGAAGUGAAGGGCUGUCCAGACAGAAAAGGUUUAACAAGGCAACCUAGCCAGGAGUGGCGGCAACUUACGCACGAGCAACCCCUAUAUUUAUUACACAUAUGCUUCAAGUUACAUACGCUUCAGGUUACAGACUCUGCUAACCCAGAAAUAGUGCUUCAGGUUAAGAACUUUGCUUCAGGAUGAGAACAGAAAUCGUGCUCUGGUGGCGCGGCGGCAGCAAGAGUCCCCAUUAGCUAAAGUAGUGCUUCAGGUUAAGAACAGUUUCAGGAAGAACGGACCUCCGGAACGAAUUAAGUACUUAACCCGAGGUACCACUGUAUUCUUAACUACAUUGCAUAUCAUUCGUAAGAGUGUGAUAGUGAUCCUGUAACAUAACAUUUUGUUCAAGAAAACACAUCUCUGAUUCCUGACCUAUGCUGUCUUGUCAAGGCAGCGUACAACAAAAAGACUGCCUUAUUAUAACAGACCCGAAAUACCAUUAAUGAAUUUAGUGACAUUUCCCCACCUUCUCGGGACUUUGCUACUGCAGCAACGCAAAUGUAGACACAAGUCUCACAUUUAACUGGUUUUGCACAUACUAAAGACACAAUGUAAGCACAGCGAAAAGCACAUCACAGAUACCCAUAGUUCUCGAACUGGACAGUGUUGACGUGCUCUUCCCUGAUCCACCAACGCCAUCACCAUGUCUAAGCACACCGUCUAUGACUGGGGAAGACAAAACUGUCCGUUAAUCUGGUAUCAAGUUACCAGCUAUUGCUGGAACAUAAGUUUAUGAUCACUUGCUAUGUACGUGCAGCAGCUAAGUUAGACUACCAUAUGUUGUUCUUAUAUUUCCACCCACACAGUCCAUGCAAAUCUUUCGAAAAAGCUCAAGCCCUGCCUAAGGAGGGUGUUGUGUGGCUCCCACGUGGCAACAGCAGAUGAGGAAGGGAGCACUCUAGGAGCACAACGAUGACUCUGCCUGCA